UUUUUUUUUUUUUUCUUUUCUGUUUUCCUUUCCAAAAACCUUUUCCAAAUAAAAUUUUGAGUGCAAAUAAAUUCAAACCAGAGACAAACGAUACAAAAUAUGCACCAGCAUGAAAUGCGCAACCAUAUUUUCUAAACUUAUAAUAAAUUUUAAUUUUAACCAAAACUAUUUUAUUCACUAGAUUAAAUGCUCACCAAACAUGCUUAAUUAAAUCAAAUUAAUUCCUAUUGAUUGAAAAUAAAUUUUUGGGUGUUACAAUGAGAUAAGAAGAAGAAACACAUUAAAAUAGCACAACAAUAAAGGAAAAAAUAAAACUUUGAAAGCAUUCUUACAUUUGCAUGAUAGAAUGACUCCACAAAUUCAGCAUUAGCUUUGUUGUGAAUAGUGAAAGCAAGUUGAAAUAGGAAUCUUGCACGUAGAGCAAUUAUAUCAAGCUGUACAAAAUCAAAAUGUUAGUAGAUCUGUUGUCAAGAAACAAAAUUCAAUGCAAAUUAGGAGAACAAAAAUAAUAUCUUACAUGAGAGAAAGGUUGAACAGUAGAUCCAUUGAAAGUUUGCAUAAAUUGAAUGACAAAGACACCAGAAUCAUUGCUACAAAAUAAAAAAACAAAAUGGCUCUGUCAAAUAAUACAUGAUGAAAAACAAAUAUUGAAUGAUGAGUUUGUUAAAUUUUGAGAUGAAACCUUAAUCUAUGCUUAGGAACAUUAGCAUAUAAAAUAGGAAAAUCCAUAACAUUGUGGUUUGAGUUCUCGUAAGCCAUAACAAAAAGUCUUUUGAAAUUCUGAAUAACAAUUUCAACUGUUGAUCUUGUUGUUGCCUCUAUAUGUGGAGCUGGGUCAAGAAUAAUAAAGCAUUUCCGGAGGAAGUUGACUACAAUGAGUAUCCACUGAUUAUGUAUAAAGCAAGGAAUAUGUAGCUGUUACAAAGAAAAAAAAUAUUAAACACAAUUUUUUUAAAAAAAUAUUAAUUUAGUACAUAACAAAAGAAACAAACUUGAAUUCUUACAAAUGAAGCUUUACUGAUUUUGAAACCAACAACGUCCAGGAAAUUAUACUUGAAAGAGCUAAAGUCAAUAUUUUCUUUCAUUAGUACCUCCUAAACAAAAUUACACAAAUUAGUCAUACUAUCACAACUUACUAUGAAAGAUAAUGAUAUGAAAGUGACUACAAUGUUUAACAUACUGUUGUGGUAUGCAGGAAAUACUGUUGAAAGAUAUGUCCUUCAACAUGACACAUUAUCUCUUGGUUCAACUCUAGCAUUUUGCAAAUACAGUCCAUUACAUGGAAAUGAGUCCAGCCUCCACGCAUCAUUGAUAAUGACAAUUUGUAUUGAUCAACCCAUGAUUCACCAAUUUGUACAAAGAUGCAACUGCAAUUAGCAAAAAAAAAAAGAAAAUGAAUCAGUAAGUCACAAAUAUAAAACACAAGAAGAAAAAUAUUAAAAAAAUAUUAUUUAUAAAUAGUUUCAUAAUACCUUUUAGUAUCCCUGUUAAUACUUUCAGUUAUGAGGUGAAAAAACUUGUAUUCAAUAUCUGAUGCAUGUAUAACUUGCACACAUGAAUAAUUUUGACUACAAUGAAAACCCUGCUCAUUAUUGUGUCCACCUUGUUGAUUCAAUUUCUGUUUUCCAAUGUUUUGAGCUUCUUCAUCAAUCAUUUGUGCACAAGUCUUGAAAUGAUUUUGCAAGCUUUUCAACAUAGAAUCUGGUGGAAAAUUUUCAUAUAAUACAUGCUGUGGAUUAACAGGAAUACCAAAAUUAUCCAAAUUUGAAACAGAGUUAUAUGGUACACUUGAUCUCUGCUGAUUGUGAAACAAAUAAUCUGCAACUUCAACUCCAUCACAGUUACAUGCACUUGAAAUAUGUAUUGCAAACCCUUCAAGUUCAUCAUCAGCAUGACUAGAAGAUUCUGUAUUAGAUAAACUUGCUAGCAAUGGUACUAAAAAACCAGCAUCAAAGUGUUCUUCACGACGUACAAUGUCGUUUUUUGAUAAAUUAUUUUCACCUGGAUAGCAACAUAUCAAUUAAUUGGUUCAAACUUGACAUCAAAAAAUGAAACAUAAAUGUUAUGUCAAAAAAGUUUGACAUAAAAAAUUUAUCUGCAAAAGUUAAGCAUUGAAAUUUUGUGCAGAAAGAGAAAAUUACAUCUAGAAAGUUAAAUAUGUGCAAAAGUUAGAAAUUAAAAUUAUCUGCACAAAGUUAUAUCUAGAAGUUAACAAGUACAACUUAUUUCCAACAAAUAAAAGUACACAAAUUAGAUUGUACAGAAGCUAACAAAAAAUAUACCUUCAAUAAGAGAGAAAAGAUCAACAAUUUGAUUAUCAUCGGAUUCAUUAUGUUUAGCCUGAUCAUUGACACAAUGUGUGCUCUGCCAAAUGAUUUGUUCAGAAGUGACUUCUGGAAGUGAGAAAGAUUCAUCAACAUCAUCAAAAUACUCUAAUAACUGAAGAUUCAAAUUUUCAACUAUAACUGGCGCAUUAACUUGAGAACCAAUUUUCGGUACUGUAAGACAAGGGAAGUAUUUGAAGAAUAACUCCAUUUCUUUCUCAAUAAUUCUAUUAUGACCAACAAAUUUGCAGCGAGCUUGCACAGAAGAACAAUCUUCAUCAGAAUCAGUAUCUGCAAGAACAUGUUGGGGAAAGUGGUGUCUAUUUGAAAUUGAGCAUAAACUAGAAACCAGUUUAUGGACAGAGGAACAAACAGUAGGCAGGGCACUUGGUAAAAUUGAAUCUUUAAGCUUUGACAAAAGUUCAUUCAAUGAAAUCAUAACCUGCAACAAAAAAAAAUUAAGCAUAUAGACUAAUAAAAAAUAAGAUUGAAAAACUAUAAACUAAAACAAUGACUUACAUCUUUUCGGUGGCAAGUAGUUGAAUUAGAUAAAAGAAUAUUGUCAACAUCAUCAAGUAAACUUUGAGUAGAACUUUCAAGAGAAAAACAAUCACUGAAAGGUGUCCAGCAUAUGUGUUUCAUCUAUAUUCAAAUAUUGAAAAUUAUGAUUUCAAAAAGUUGUGCAUAGAACAAUUUAAUCUAAUAACAACAAAGGAACAAUGAUUUUGGUACAUACUUGUAGUUUGCCAAAGCUAGAAGAUGAAUCAGACUUAGCAUCCAUGAAAGCUAAAGCAUUAACAACAGUUGAUGACCAUGCAUGAAGACGAGGGCAUCUCAAACCAAGAUCAAAUGCAUUUGAGCUUAGGAAUUCAAGAUAUGAUAUCUGAAAAAAAAUAAUUAAAUUCCAGAAACAAUAACGAAUAUAACUAUUGUAAUUUUAGAAAAGAAUAGCAAGAAUUACCACAAGUAUAUGGCAGCAGCCGCCAAUUACAUUUGAACCAGUUGUUCUCUUAUGAACUUUGAACUUGACAAGAUAUGACACAAGCCAAUCCAGCACAAAGGAGCACCAAUCAUAUUUUGGAACAGAUGAGAUGUUAAGCACAGCAUGGUAAUACCUGGUACUACAUGCACCUCUUGUGUUUGGACAUAAAAAGGAAGAUAGAGCCAAAAGCAUGAAUAGCCUACCAAACUCAAAAUCUGAAAGGUCAGGUGUUAUCUGAUUGCAAAGCUCAGACACAGUAGGAGUAACACCUCUAGAAUAAAUCUGAUCUUUGAUAAUCUUAUAUGACUCCAGAGUACCAAACCUAAGAAUGUGUAAGCCACCAUUGGGAAUCCCUAAAAUCUUGUGAACACACUUUGGAUUGAGUUCAAAGUUGAAUCCAUUAGGAAGCAUUAAAGUUCUAGUUGCAGCAUUAAAAUGGUCAAUCAACCAGAGCAACAAAUUUGUUGGAAGCCGAGGGCAACAUAAUUCCAACAAUCCUGAGAAACCAAGAUCUUGAACAACUUCUUUUUGCUGUUGAGAUAGAUUAGACACAACAUCUACAAACAUUUCAACAGUACUGCAACCAUGAUUAACCUAUAGCAAAAACAAAUCAAAAUUGAAGAUAUCAACAUGAUGAGUUGCUUAAAAAUGAAAUUAAGUCAAAGUAUAAUCUGUUGAUAAGUGAUAAUCAAAACUAAUAUAAUAAUACACAUACUUUACAUUUCUUGAUAUCACUUGAUAGACCUUCAUCACAAGUAAACUCGAUACGUUUAUUGAACUUGGGUAAAUCCAUAAUACCUGUGUAACAAAAAUUAGAUGAAAUUAGGAAAAAUCAAGUGAACAAAUAGCAGAACAUAAAAAUCAAAAGUUGGGGAAAAUUUUAGGAACAAAAAAAAAUUCAAAACCAGUUGAAUUGAGUGCUUGAUGGACAAAGAGAGAGUGUGACCAUCAAUCAUUGCAAACAAGGAAUUCAACUAAAUUUGAGUCUCCAAUGAAGAGGACCCACGGCCAACACAACCGCAUCAGCUGGGAGGCACACAAAAAAGCAGUAUAACGAGUAACCCUAAAGAUAAAGAAAACUGGAAGGAAGAGGAGGAAAGAGAGAAAUCGCAUGGAUCCAAAGACAAAUUCCAUUUCUUAGUCCAUAGAAAGUUUCUAGGGUUAGGAUACUUACUUGUCACAUGGAACGCCACGCACCACCUAGAUCCACCUGCACCCGACCCGGCAGUCUUGCAAAUGAAGAGACUGACUAAGUUUCCGAUGGAGGAGUCACUAUAAUAAUAUAUUACAUUGGAGUCAAAAAGGUAAACGCAAACUUAUACUGUCCAACUUAGUUAGGCAAAGUUAGCCAUAAAGUUAUGCACCCUAUGUAGUAGUCUAUAAGUUAUAUGUAUAACUUGUAAGUAUAUGUUAGCUCGUAUUAUAUAAGUUGAUCUGAAGAAAAUAAAUAUUAUAGUUUGAAGAAGGCGAUGCAAAUAGAAAUCACGAGAUUAUGAAAUAUACAACAAAAUGGUAAAAACACCCUAAAAAUAAUAGUACAUAGUAUUGUUAAUCAUAAAUAUCAUUUUCACAUACAGAUAUAUAGUUCCAAAAACUAGAUAAGUUAUCGAAACUUGGUAACGCUGAGAUCUUAAAUUAAAAUAAAUAUCACAAACUUAAAGACUACGUCACGAAAGAGUGAAUAGAUCAACUCGAUGUCAUCAUGUCUUGUAAUCCUCAAUUGAGAGCAACUGCACGAACUCCACCAAUCUCUGAAUCAUGGGGACGAAGCGAAAAACAACUACACCACAGAAACUCAUAGCGGUAUGAGAGCAAAGUCUGCACAUCUGCAUGUGAACGAACAAUAACAAAAAUAGAUGGUCGUAGAUAUUCUUUAGCAAGCCUGUAACUUCGAUGCCCAAGAACUUGAUGUACGAUUGCGGAAGCCUUCUGCGGUUAAGAAAGAGAAGAAAAAAUGGGAGCAGCUUUUGUCUUACAAGAAUAUGCAUAUAAUAUUUAUAGCAUCCUGGGUCCUAUGAUACCCCUUAGCGCAGCACCAGUUGCGAAAAUACAGACGGUUUAACAAGACGUGGGUAAGACACACUCAUGUAGAGCAGCAGUUUGAUAAAAGAAUAAUAAAAAAAAGAGAACCAGCCGCAAAUGCAGUGGAAAAUAGUAAAUGGGCCUACUCAGAGUUAUAGUGGCCCAGUAACUAUAAUACAAUAAAAUAUUGCCACACACAUAGAUAGGACGCGACCACCAGACAAAGACAUGCGCAGCCGCGCCUAUCAGGUGGCACAGAACCCUAGGACCCAAGCAGCCGCCCCAGGUGGGAGACGCCAAAACACAACAAAAAUCCAAGGUACGAAUAUGGGAUUCUUUGAUUAAAUCUACAUAUUAGAUCUGAGGUACUUCUUGUACUACUUGAAUACACAAACUCCAUCGAGAUUCAAGCAUCUAUCAGUUGAGAUUGUUUGCUAAAACUUCAUUUAUACAGAAACUUCUUAAACUACUUAGAAACAAGUUCCUCUGCAACAAUUGACCUUGGAAGUUGCUCUACAACAAUUUGAUCUCUAAAGUGAUUUGGUUUUUUCUUUGUUCUUGCCUCCUGAAAAGAAAAAAAAGAUUUAAUUAAUACUUCAUAAAAUGCAGGGAAAUGAUAAAGACUAAUAUUCAACAGCUCUUAGAAAGUUCCAGUACAAUAGAUGAUUUGUGUCCAAGACAAAAUGUACAACCACAACAGGUGCUUCAAAAGUUUAUGCAGGUGAGUAACAUGUGCAAUGUAUAUAACUUCAGUUUUAAAUCUUCAGAAUACUCAUUACCUACUGAAAAUAUGCAAGUGGAAUUACAUAUUAUAUGGAAUUAUAAGUAUGUAUUCUGGUAUAUAGAGAUCUUAUACUUGUCAUAUUUGUGACACAAGUUAUCAGAAAUACACUAGGCAUUCUAGAAUAGUCAUGACUUAUUUGUUAUUUGUAUCAACGUACUAUACUUGUCUCCAGGUGAUGCAAUUGAAAAAAACUCAGAUUGUCUUUCUGUGCAUUAUAGGCAUUCACCAACAAGAGACUAGACAGACAAGACAAAGAGAAAGAUUGCAGCCUUGCAGAGUUGGAAGCUUAUUUGUUAACUACAAACAAUAGUACCACAACAAAAAACACAGGACAAAAUGUCAAAUUUGAUACAUACACUGUUAUUGCUGCAAAUAACAACAUAUCAGUUGAACCAGGAAACGAAUCAGAAUCUUUGCAAGCACCAAGAUUAUUUGAUCUAAAUCAGGUAAUUGAAAAGGGAAAUUGUAUGUAUCUAUUAUAAUUGUGGUUCAAGAUACAAAUAGAUAUACAAAAUUAGCCUUACUUAUGAUGGAUUAAAUGCAGGAGGCUCAAGGUGACGCAGAGGAUACUGCAACAACAAAUUCUAGAAGCACAAUAUAUACACAACUACAUAACGAGCAAGCACAACGAAUACAAAAUCAAGAAGAAAGAAAUGUAAGUGAAUUACACUAUAAAUCUAUAGAGUUAUGAGUUUGUAGUAGAAUAUCAUUAUCAAGAUAAUGAUUCAAAAGAACACAAUUGCAGCUGGAGAAAGAAGUAUUGCAACAGCAUGAAAAUCAAGAGGGCAAUACCCAAACUCAAGAAGAACUUGCAAAUGAGACUAGGCAUCCAACUGAACCUAGCAACACUACUGAAGACAGAAUUAUAGAUGACAUAUCAGAACCACCUGCACAAACAACUGAAGAGCGUGAAAUGGACAACAUGUUUGAAGAAGCAAACUAUCCAUCGAUGAAUGAGAUUGAGAAUGCAGAGGAACCACAAGUUGGGAUGUCUUUUGCAACAAGAGAAGAUGCCUUUUAUGCAUUCAAAAUUUAUGCUAGAAAGAAGGGAUUUGCAGUCAGGAAAGAUGCCUCUUACACAUCUAGAAUCACAGGGCAGCUAGAGAGACAGAUGUUUGUAUGCAAUAGGAGUGGCAAGCCAAUCUGCACAGAUGGGCCAGGACGAAAAAGAAGAAGUAAUGUACUCGAAAACACAAAUUGCAAGGUGCUUGUCCGGGUGAAGCUUGAAUUAGGGUUGUGGGUGGUGACUGCAGUACAUCUAGAACAUAACCAUGAGCUCGCACCAUCAACGUGGCUGGUCAGAUUCAUGAGAUGCCACAAGAACAUGAACGAGAGUGAGAAAAACUUUAUUGGUGUUCUACAGAACAGUAGGGUGCCACCAAGGAAAGUCAUGUCAAUCUUUAGACUAUUGAGAGGACACUUGAGGUGUAUUGGAUUCGAUGCAAAAGAUGUCAGUAAUCUACAAAGCAAGGAACGGAUGCAACACAAGCAUAAGGACAUAGCUGAGCUCCUAGACAUAUUCAAAGAUAGACAGAAAACUAUUCCAGGCUUCUACUACAGUGUCAUGGCAGAUGAAGAUGGCACAGUUAGAAGCAUCUUUUGGACUGAUGCAAUUGGAAUUGCUAACUACAAAGUAUAUGGCGACUACAUGUCGUUCGACACAACAUUCAGUACCAAUUUAUAUGGGAUGCCAUUUGCACCGAUAAUUGGUGUCAACAACCAUGGGAAGACAAUAUUAUUUGGGUGUGCCCUCCUAAAAGAUCAAACUAUCAGUACAUUCGAGUGGCUCUUUGAUACAUUCUUGAUUGCAAAUAACGGAAAGAUGCCAAGCUCUAUAAUAUCCGAUCAAGAUCAGUCCAUUGCAAGUGCUAUUCAGUCUAAAUUUCCUACAGCUGUACGGAGGUUUUGCUUCUGGCAUAUUGUUAAGGAACUAAAAAGAAAAAAUGUGGCCUUUUUCGCAGCAAGACCAAACCUCUACAAGAAGCUGAAAUAUGCAGUGAAGAACUCAUUCACAAUACAAGAAUUUGAAAUGAGAUGGAAUGAGAUACUAGAUGAAUAUCAAGCAAGAGAGAACAAUAGUAUCAAUUAUCUUUACAACAUCAGGAGGUACUGGGUACCAGCAUAUUUCAUGAGCUCCUUCUACCCCUUCUCUAGCACUACUGGGAGAAGUGAGAGCACAAAUGCUCUAUUCAAAGGGUACGUGACACACAAAGAGACAAUAGUCAACUUCUUUGAAGCAUAUGAACAGAUACAAGAGAAGAAUUUAUCAACACUAGACCGUUGUAGGUUCAACUCUGAGAUCAAAUGCCCAAGCAAAUGGUCGUUCAAUGGGCUAGAACAACAUGCAGCGACACUAUAUACAACUGCAAUCUUCCAAAGGGUUCAGAAGGAGUUCAAAUCUGCAACAGCUUAUGCAGUCAAAGAGAUUGUUCCAGAAAAGAUGUUCCAGCUAAGAAGAAAAACAGUGUAUGAUAGUGAAUUUGAAAAAGAAGAAUUCGAAGUGACAGUCACAGAAGAUAAGGAGCAUUUCACAUGCUCAUGUAGGAAAUUGGACCGUGAUGGUAUACCGUGCUGUCAUGUGCUGAAAAUAGCAGAGAGGUUGGAUUUGCUAAUGAUUCCUGCAAGUUUUGUAAGGUACAGAUGGACAAAGCAGGCUGAUCAGGAAAUAGUACUGCAGGUUGGCCAAGAAUUGACACUCAAACAUGGCAAUGCAGCAAAUUCAAUUCAAUACUGCUUGAUGAUGGGGGAAGUGUCAGACUACUGUUCAAGCAUUUCUGGAAACAAGAGAGCUGUUGAGCUUUUCACAGCUGAGUUUCAUAAAUUAAAAGAGACAAUCAAUUCAAAACUGACAGAACAUCAAGAUGCUAGUGGGAACCAAAAUGGAAGUACAUAUGUUGAAGGCACAAGUACUACAACAUUAAAGAAUCCUCCGAUACCUGAAGAGAGAAGCAAUAAGAAAAGGAGAAGAUCCAUAGCUGAAAAGAAAGAAAAGCAGGCAAUAGCUAAAGCAAAAAAAAAAGCAGCACCCAAAAAAAACACCGUGAAAAGGUGCACUCAAUGCAAGAGUACACUGCAUGACAAAAAGAGUUGCCCAGAGAUUGGAAAGAUGCCACAGCUACCACAGGUACAACAUUCAGCUUAAUUAAUUUUUCAUUUUACUAAGAACUAACUAUUGACGUACUAAUGAUCUUCAUAAAACACUAUUACUACAGGCAAUCCAAAGACAACGACAAAUGAGAGGUGGCAAAAAGCAAAAACAACAAAGGGAAUAUAAAUCACAAAGCUUUAUUCAGAUGUAGUUAAGAUGUAGUAGGCAUAAAUUAAACAUGAUGUAAAAAAAUUAUCAACCUUUCAAGUUGUACUGAGUUAAUUUAAAGAAUUGUUAAGUUUAAUUAUUAUUGAAGACAAGGAUGCAUGAUACAGAUUAUGUUCUCAUAUGAGAAUGGUUCAAGUAAAGAAGUUUUGUUCUCUUACCAGGUUUGUUUUUGUCAAGAAUUUUUUGUACUGCUGGCAAGACGCGAACAUUUUGUCUGUGUGUAAGCAUGAAUGCACCAUACUUUACUCUAAGAUUGUAAAUAUCUUCCUACAGAAAAAAAAAGAAAAAAGUAUAAGGACAUGCGGAUUAGUUUCCAAUAAAACAAAUAAAAUAUAAAUGUUCCAAGACAAACAUACAUUGUGAAUAGGAAGAAUUUGUCGACCAUCCCACGUACUCAUGAAAUUCAUAACAUAUAUGCCACAGUCAUUACUGAAAAAAAGAAUAAAUUCAAAUAUUAAUACAAAAGAAAGAACUCAAAAGGGAAUAGUUUGAAAAGAAACUCACGUUGUCUCCUGUUGGGGUACAUUAUGUAUUGAGGAAGUAAAAGUACUGAAGUCAAUAACAUCAUCUUCAUCUCUCAUCAUAAAAUCAACCACCUUUUCAAAAUUUCCACGCUAUAAUUUGAACAAAUUGAACUAUAAGAACCAUAUUUGAAUUUUAUAUAAACAAUUAGAUAAGGAUAAAAACCAAAAUACUAACAAUAUAAGAAGAAAUAUCGCCCUCAGAAACACGAAAAUUUAAUGAACUCAGAAUAUCAAAACGCUUAUCCCUCAUAUUAGCAACAACCAACCACCAGUGUUGAUCAUGGCAAACAGGCAUGAAGACCUGCAAAAGUAAUUGUGAGAACAAGUUGUGACCAAAAGUUUUGAAGUUACAGACCUAAGUAACACAACAGAGGUAGGCAAAGUUACAGACCUAAGUUAGGAGAACAAGUUAUGACAAAAAAAUAUCAAAGUAACUCACAUUCUUGAGUUAGAGAGGACAAGUUAGGCAGUUUAGUAUGAAACUGACAUAUACAUGUAGACAGCAAAACAGGAAUAUGCAAAUCAAUAAGUUACUACAAAAAGGAAGAAUGAUACAUUGUUUGCCAAAAAUCAAUGUGACAAAACAAAAAUUAUAGAAAAACAUACCAUGUCCAUUUGAUAUAGAUUGAAACGAAGAAUCCUAGGGUCAACUUUUUUAGCCAACAAGUCAACACUAAUAUCCUUAAUUUUCAUAUGAUCCUGCCACGUACAAAGAAAACAAAGAGAGUUACAAAAAGCAAAAUCAUACAUAUGGUAUUGUAGUUUCAGACGCAAGCAAACCACCAACCACAGAAUGUAUCAAAUUCUAUAUGCAAAGAAGUUGAGAUAUCAUAAUACAAAAAUUCAAAAUUACUUACAACUUCUGCAGAGGUCAUAUAGCCCUUCUUUACUUGUGACGGGUUAGUAGAUAACCACAUAUCAGCGUUAAGAGCUUCAGCAAACACAUUCAUUACAAAUGUUCCAACCCACUUCCCUCCUGCCAUAGUAAGACUAAAUUCUCCAUGCGUAAUACUCAUACGGCCUAUAUCAGCACAUAUAACACUGAAAAAAAGAACACAUAAAAAAGAUAACGCAAAAGAAAAGUAGAAUAUACUAUAAAUAGUAUCAUAUAUAGAUAUUUUUCUGAGAAAAGCGUCAACAUACUUUUCAGCAAUUCCUUUUGGCCUUCUCGCUGCUGCAUGGUAUACUUCCUUCUCAAGAUUUGUCACAAUGAUUCGAGCACCAGAGCUAAUGCUAUUUGUGAAACUUGAUUUAGGUGGCUUCAAAGCACGCUUCCUGUGACCAAGUGCUGAAAGAUCUUUUUUUGUUUGAGCAGCAUGAUCUUCUUUCACAAUCAAAGGAUCAGAUUUUUUUUUGCCUUUCUCAGUGGGCAAUUUCUUAUUAACAUCAACAUCUAAAUUUGAGGAACUAACAUUUUUCUGAUCCAUCUCAGUGUAUUUUGGCUCAGAAGCAUCAUCAACUUUUUUGUCAAAUGAAGAACUAUUAAGUUCAUUGACUUUCUCACUUUCUAUAUCAGUGUAUUUUGCCUCAGCAACGAACUGGACAUUGUCAAAUGAAGAACAUAUGAUUUUGUCUAUGACUGGACUAUCAUCUUCCAUAUUAGUGUCUUGUUUCUCAUUUGAAGGACCAGAAGCUAUGGUCUUGUCUUUGAGAGGACCACCAUCUCCAAUCAAAGUGUCUUUCUUAUUAUUGGAAGGACCAGAAGAUGUGGUUUUGUCUUUGGGAGGACUAGCAUCUCCAAUUUUAGUGUCUUGUUUCUCUGUGGAGGGCCCAAAAGAUGUGGUUUUAUCUUUGAGAGAACUAGAAUCUCUCAUCUCAUGCAUUAGCCUAUUUGAACCACCAGCAACUCUAUUUUCAUUGUCAAUUGACAUAUUCUGAAUAUCAUCACUAUGUCCCCUUGAAGUAUCAUCAUAUUCUUUCAUUUUACUAGGAUCAUCAGAUACUUUAUCAAUGGGACAUUGCUGAACACCAGAUAAAUAAGAUUUCACCAACGCAUGAGACUGAAUAACAACAUUGGACUCAUAAUUCCUAAAUGACUCUUUGUAGAAAUAUUUGCACAUAUUCCUCAAAUGCAAUAACCCCUGGUACACAAAAAAUAGAAAAAAUCUUACAAAAAUAAGCAUGAGCUAUAGGUAUUUUUUAAAAUAAAUAAUACAUUCAGCUAAGUGAUUUGUGCAUACAAAAAAUGCAUCUUGAUGGACACAGUAGUAAGUGGUUGUCAUAUAUGCAGGUAUUAGACAUGAAAAGAGGUUAAAACUUAUACUAUCCUCAAACUUAAUCACUAAUAGGGUACAUAUGGCCAACAAAGAAGUAUCUAAAUUAACAAGUAUAUGCAAAAAACCCAAAAGACCAACUAAUGACCAAAUAAUAGGGUACAUAUAGCCAAGAUUUAUGCAGUAUGGGUAGCACUGGCUUUAGCAUUAAGUAUCAAGUUGCAGGAACAGAUUAAUUAAUUCACCUGACCAGGCAUAGAGUGGCAAUGUUUAUUGCUGGGAAUUAAGAAAAGAUAGCAUAAACAAAAAGUUUGUUGCUGACAAUUAAGAAAAAAUAGGAUAAUUACAAGCUAAAUAACACAAAAGUACCUCAUCACUACAAUUAGGGCCAGCAGUGGAACGAAUGAAAUUAUCAACAUCAGGAUGCAACUCCUCUCCACAGAAAAUACGAAAAGCAGUAGAGUCAGGAACUACUGUCUGCCUCGAAUGAAUAUCAAAUUCUAAAUUUUCAUGCAGUGUAUCUAAAGGACCCUUUAUAAUCUGCACAAGAGAACAAAAAAAUGUUAGCAAUUCAAAAUAUGUACAGCUGACCAAGCCAUGAAAUAGUAAAUAGAUGGUCAAUCUACCUUUCUCAUUUUCUUAGAUGUCCUAUGCGGUGAAGAAGGACCACCAACAUCUGGUGCAAAAGGUGACUCAUUCAAAACUUGAACACUGCACCCUCUCUUACUUCUUCGAUUCAAAUCAGUCUUUCCAAAAACAGUAGAGUGUAGUGGUUUAAUCUACAAGAUCAACACUAUAAGAUUAAACAAAACAUCCAGAAAUCAGUAGAAAAAGAAACAACUCAAAAUUGAAAAUUUGAAUUAUAACAACACCUGCAUGUCUUUAAAUUUGGGGUAAUGUACAAUAAACUUUUCAACCAAAUCAUCAGUCCAAGCAUCAAUACGAGGUAUUAUCCGCGGAACUGUCUCCGGAACAAUAAUCAUCUCUGAAGCCAAAUAAUCAAAGUAGGCAGUCUGAAUGGAAAAUAAGAACAAAAUCAAACACCAUAGACAUAUAAAUGAAAAAAAAAGAAACAAAUGUUAAUCUAAACUAUAUAUCAAUUAAGCUUUAUACCAGUCAUAUCAAGAAACUAGUACUCCUAUAUAAGAUAAUGCAUACCAAGAUCAGACAUGCAUAUAAUAAAAGGUCAUAAUAAGAUGCAAUCAAACAUGUCAACUUCACAAAUGAAAAUAGAGAAAUCUUCAAGAUUGCAGACACUUCUUGUUAAUGCAGUUCCAUGCCAUCACAUUUUAUCUCGAUCUCACCUCAGUUUUCAACUACCAAAAUUAUUAAGGAUUUAACUAUUAAAGGCUCAAAAGCAAUAGAACUGCACGCAGCUAGGAGUCUAUACUCAAAAGAAAAAUUUGUUGGUAACUUCCUAGUUAGCAACAAGUGAUAAUUUCAAAGUUAACAUACUCAAAAUAGACAAGUCAAUUGUAGACUUAAAAACAUUUCUAAUCGAACAAAGCAAGUAAACAACAUUCAAAACUUGCUGCACAAUUUAACUAGAAAUAUAAAAUGUAUGAGUGAGCAGUAAAUGAAAUACUUACAAAGAGCACAAAUAUGCAGCCAGACAAAGUUGGUUUAUCAGAAGUGCUUCCUUUAGACAAAGACUGUUGGAAUUUGCAAAGCCCAGAAUUCAAACAACUGACCACUGCAUCACACCAAUCAUAAGACUUGAUCUUUUUCACUGAGCGGAUCCCAUCAUAGUAAUGACAACUGGCUCUGAAUGAACUGCUCGGGCACAGGAAUAUAGACAACACUACUAAAAUGAAGAUCCUAACAAAUCUAUCACCCACAAGCUCAGGAGUAAUCAUUGCAAUAAGAUCUUGAAUCUUUGGAGCUAACGGUCCUGGUGUUGUUUCAUUAGCAAUAAAAGAUUUUAAUUCUAGAGAAGCUCUUGAUUUAAUCUUCACUUCACCAUUAGGAAUUCCAAGAAUCAAAUGGACUAUGUGACCAUCUAUCUUGAAUUCAUUAGUCCCUGGAAUUUUGAUACACUGUGUAUUCUUAUCAUAGCACCUUGCCAGCCAGACAAUAAGUUGCUUAUAAGGCAUAAUACUGCAUUUCAGCUUAAGAAUGGAACCAAACCCACAUUGUUGAACCAACUUUUUCUGAGGUUCAGUAAGAACACGUAUCAGGUUCAUCAACUUGGGCAUUGAAAAUUGACUUUGGAAUGACUGAAAUUUAAAAAAAGACUAAUUAGAACUUUCUCAGUCAAUUAACCACAAAUGAAAUAUCCAACCUACAAAACUUAUAGAAUAAGUUUAAUAUAUACAUUCAAAAAAAUGUUAUAGGAAAAAGCUAGUAAGUAAAAAAAAUGUCAUAUGCAUGCAGCAGCACCACCAAACAUGUCUAUAUGUUGAACAGUACUUGCCAGUAGCUUAAAACAGCAAAUUAAUAUUCCAUGAGCCAAAGGAUUAUGACCACAACCAAAUACAAUAGAAAAUCAUUAUCAAGUGUCAAACUUGUUCAGGCUACACAAUUUAACAUAAAACAUUACAAAAACCUAACACAAACUUAAACAUUCAAAUUAGGAGCACAAAUUAAACUUACAAGUUACCAGCACAAACUUAAAAUAUGAACUUGAACAUACUAACUUAAACAAUCAAGUUGGAGCACAAGUUAAACUUACACCUUAGCAGCAAAAAACUUAAAACAUGCAACUUGGACAUACUCAACUUUAACAUACUAACUUAACACAGAGCUUAACACAGAACUCAUACAUAUAAGUUACGUCUGCAAAUAAACUUGUUCACGCUACAGAACUUAACACAGAACAUUAGGACCAAACUUAAACAUUCAAAUUAGGAGCACAAAUUAAACUUACAAGUUACCAGCACAAACUUAAAAUAUGAACUUGAACAUGCUAACUUAAACAAUCAAGUUGGAGCACAAGUUAAACUUACACCUUAGCAGCAAAAACUUAAAACAUGCAACUUGGACAUACUCAACUUUAACAUACUAACUUAACACAGAGCUUAACACAGAACUCAUACAUAUAAGUUACGUCUGCAAAUAAACUUGUUCACGCUACAGAACUUAACACAGAACAUUAGGACCAAACUUAAACAUUCAAAUUAGGAGCACAAAUUAAACUUACAAGUUACCAGCACAAACUUAAAAUAUGAACUUGAACAUACUAACUUAAACAAUCAAGUUGGAGCACAAGUUAAACUUACAACUUAGCAGCAAAAACUUAAAACAUGCAACUUGGACAUACUCAACUUUAACAUACUAACUUAACACAGAGCUUAACACAGAACUCAUACAUAUAAGUUAUGUCUGCAAAUAAACUUGUUCACGCUACAGAACUUAACACAGAACAUACAAUAGAAAAUCAUCAUCAACUUGAACACACAAGUUAUAAAAUCAACUUCAACGUACAAGCUGAUAAACAAUACUUAACCAAAGAACUCAUAUAUAUAAGUUAUGUCUGCAAAUAAUACACAGUGCUACUCAGACAAUUUCGCAAAAAUAAAUAACAAAUAAGAAUUCAUAGAGUAAAAGAUCAGUCACCGUAGAUUCAUUGUUUAUGCUCUCUCCACUGUCACUCCCAACAUUGUCCUCAGAACCAACAGAAUAAUCAUUAUUAGAAGACUGUAACUCCAAAUCACCACUUGUUUUGGACUUGUCUCCUUCAGAAGAAGGAUCUUCAUCAUCAGACAUCUGUAAACAAUUUAAAAAUUCAUAAUCACUUAAUAAAACAUAUCAUAACUAAUAAUAUGAAUCAAUUGAUAGUAAAAUCCUUGUUCUAAUUUCAUAAAUAAAAAACCUAACCCAUGUCAUGUGAUGGAACAAAGUUCUUGCAAAUACAGUUAAUAUACUACAGCUGCAACAUUUGUAUAGAAAGGGAAGGGGAAAUACUACCAAUAGGACCCAUUCAAAAUACAAGUUUCAAAACAAACCCAUGUGUUUGUGUUCCACACUGACAUUAAGCCACAGUUACCAGGCCACAGUAUGAUCCACAAGAUACAAUGAAAGCAUGAAGAGUCUUCAGGCAAUCCUGUGGAGGUCUAAACUGCGCUGCUCCCUGGCAAUAUAGCGCAGUACCACUUACCGCGAUAACAUAUCAAACAUCUGCCAUUCCAAUCUCCCAAAACCAACUGUAUAAUCUGUUUGCAAAAUUCCAAUCCACCCAGGGCACUAGAAGCUGAGCAGCAACACAAUUAUCGUGAAGCGAAAUCCUAAACGCCCAGGGCGAAGUACAAACCAGCUAGCAAGCGCCAAGCGCGGCGUACCUUGUACCCGACAGGGGCGUUGGCCUCGCGGGCGUGUAUUUGCAGGCGACUGCCGCACGCGGAGUCGUCCUCCUCCGCGGCGUCCUCGUUGGGGCUCGACUUCGAGGACACCGCGCUCACCCUCACGCUCCGCCUCCCGGGCUCCGACCCCGACGUCCGCAAGCGCGCCGCCUCCGCCUACGCCUCCACCUCCACCCCCGUCUCCCUUCCCCGCACCCCACGGGCCUCUGCCUCCGAAGAGGCUCCGCCCGCCCCCAAGUAACGUACGCUCGCUCGCGAGGCACCGACGCCGACGCUCCAGCGCAAGGUGGACCUCGAGGCCUACGCGGGCUACGACACAGGCACGAAUCCAAGGUCGGACGGGGCCGAGGCAAUGGCCAGCGCGACGGCGGCGGACUAGCUAGGGUUAGGGCCAAUGCCGGUGACACCGGAGCACGACGAGAAGCGGGGAGAAAAGGAUGUGAGCAAUACCUUCCAACGAUGCCCGGAGUACACCGAAUGCCGACCCCCUCGAAAAUCCAAUGCCGUCGGCAAGGUUCGCCCGCGUCGGAGUGUUGGCGGAGAAGAAGAAGAGGAGCGGGAUGAAGUCGCCGUUUCGUUUGGUUGAGUCGACCGUAGAAGCAGGGGACGGGGAUGGGGGAGGGAUAUUUUUAAAACGAAAUUUCGGAAGCCAGAAAAGGAAAGGAAGCGGGAACGGAAAAGGAAAGGAGAAACCGGUCGGAUCGUUCGCUGGAUUAAGAAGUACUGAACGACCGCGAAAGGGGAAUUGUGCCGCGUAAGCCUACGAAUUUUUGGAGUGUUUCAGCUUUCAGGCGCGCGAAGUAUUCAUUGCACAAGCUUUUCUCUGAUGAACGGAACAUGUAACAGUGACAUGAUGUUAUAACCCCACAUUAAUAUUACUGACAUCACUCUUUGUUUCAGACGUUGAUUUUCGGUGCUGCAAUCCAUCCCCUGCAAAAUGUACUCCAGUUCCAUAAGCACGAGCCUUUGGUCGUAUUUUUUCUAUCCAUACAUGAUUUUUGUAGUACAAAAUUAUGUGACUGCAUUCGUAUUGAAAAAUGUUUACUUAUUAUUGUGUUUUUUAUUAUAUAGAUAAAUGACAUAACAAUAGAGUAAUUUGCUGCUCAAAGAAUUGUCCAACAGAACAAAUACUUAUGAGUUGUGCACUUAAUGGGUCUGUUUGUAGUUCCUAAGAUAUGCUCUUUGGCUAAGGAACUUAGUGAUUAUUUAUGAAAUUCUUUCGUAGGCUAAUAGCUAGCUAUAAAUAGUGAAACAAAUCACACCUAUUUUGAAUGCUUGAAACUUUUGAUAGUUUCCUGCAAAAAUAUGCAAAGUUACAAUUAGCUCUUCAACAAUUAUGUGGGUUAAUGGAAGAUGAAAUUUAAAAAAAAAUGUUCUUCAAUGUUUUAGACUUUGGUUCUUGAUGAUACAAUUUGUCAUUUAAAAAAUUGUUAAGUUUCAUAUACUUGAAAUAUAAUAAUUCCCAUUUGGGGAAAGAAUCUAGUACUAUGUUGUAGCUUAAAAGUGUUACUUGUGCCAAAAAUACAUAUGUUUGGACUUAGGACACUCAUAGUGUAAGUUUCAUUCUCAUUUAGUAGGUGCCACAUAAACAAUUUCGAUGACAUGUUAAAAAGCGAGAAUAAUGAAAUGAGUUCCACCUAAAUGAAACAUAUGACAUUGUUUCCAAUAAAAUUCUCAGUGUCUAAUAGAAUAAAAGCAUCAAGUGCAUAUGAAAUAUCAAAUACGAAACUAUAUGUUGUAGAAGGUUGUUUCACACUACAUUCAAAUACUCCUAGAAACAAACAUGGAUGGUUAGAGCAAAAUCUCAAUCUAUCAAUUUUUAAACAUAAAGCAUAGUUUGGCUCUGGCAUGGUCAAAAAACUAAACUCCUAUUAUCUUAACUUACAAUGUUUUUCACAAAAAGAUUGUAAGCAUAAAAAAUACUUCCAAAUGUUAAUCCAAUGUCGUUGUUUUUAGUGAUUGGAGGGAAUAGAAUCACAUGGGUAUUUUGCUAAAACCAUGAUUUUUACUCAUGUUUGAGGUGAAGUUUACAUCUUCUGUAUUAGCAAUUUCUUUGGUUUAGAGGCAUUUUGGAUCAUGGUACCAUGAUUUUUACUCAUGUUUGAGGUGAAGUUUACAUCUUCUGUAUUAGCAAUUUUGUUUGGUUUAGAGGGAUUUUGGAUCAUGGUUUAGGGGUUUGGUGGGCAUACUUUGAGGCCGGCGGGCUUAAAGGGAUUAGAAUCUUCUUUGCUAGCAGUGACUCAUCAAGGUGCUCUUUUUUUUUUAUUUCAAGAUUGUAUCGACAACGAAGCAUCUAGAUAAUUUCUUGAAUCUCAAAAUUUACCGAUUUAGUCUUUUAGAGAUGCUCAUAUAUAGAUAUAUAGAAUGUGUUCGCGUGUGUCUAAUAUGUUCAUAAGAAUAUGCAUUUAUGUGAGUGUCAUGUCUAUACCAUGAGUUUUAGAAACAAACAUAUAAAACAUAUAAGGAGACAAACUUGAAAAAAUUUGGGAAUUAAUCCUCGAUCUGCUGUCUAGAAAUGGCGACUACGAUGGAGGUGGCACUCAGAGAAGCGGAUAACGUCCCACCGAUAGCGUGCCCUAAUGAUUCAUCCGAGCUUUAAAAAAAAAACAGAUGCAUUCUUGAGAAUUUUUUAUCAGAAGAGCAGCAGUGGCCCUUCACUAUCCAUGAAAGCAAAGAACUAAAAAGAGUCAGAAAUUACUUGCCUUGAACGUGGGUGCCAUCCUGCAAUGGCAUUGUUACCCGAGUGAACGCAAGGUAAAGAAUACUGGAAAUACAGAGCGUGCAUGGUACGGGAACCCUGCUCGACACGUGAGCUUUUGGGCUAGCUACUCCGGUGUACGUGACCGACGAAGUCACGGAGUAGGCUUUGGGGACGGACGAACGAGAGAUUCUUCUUCCACGAAAAGCGCGGUGGUUGCCACCAUAGAAAAGGAAACUCAACAAAGACGACGCACAAUGCGUAGUAUGAGAUUACCGACACAUUCGGUGGUUGAGCCGGCCACCUUCAGAAUACAACAUCAGAACCGUCACACACACACACCGUCACGUCAUGAGCAGCUCCAAUAUUCGGCCGGCGCUGCUCGUGGCUUUGCAGCUGCUACCCUCCAAUGUGCCCGUGUCGCUUCAUGCGUUGCUUUGAUCGCAGUCGCAGGACCAUCGGUGGUUACGCUUACUGUUUUCAGCAGCCGUAUACGGGGAUAGCAUACUGGUAUAAGGCUAUACUUAUACGCACUGGAUGGACGCAUCGAUCGCAUGGCACGCAUGUGUUCCCUGGGAUCCACACAUACAAAUUUCAGGCCGUAUCGUCGUCAUGUCCAUCACAGGAACCGGUGCAUAUCGAUCGACACGCAGGGAACGUGUCUCCUCGCAGUCCAGAAACCGGUUUCAGAUGACCAUCAUUGGCCCUGAUGAUCCGCACCGAACGAACCUGCCCCAUAAACGGCCGUCGCUAGUGUGCGUUUAGCUCGACGGCGACGCGCGGUCGGGAUCAGUGCGACGGUUUCGGGCCGCUGGUCCUGCUCCUGCUCCUGCGCGGCGAGGCCAUCCGGUGGUGGCCUGCCGAGAUUGCACGUCAAGCGGAUUUCGCUGAUGGAUAUUUUGUGUAGGAUGAAACGGCAACGUCAGGUCGAGAUGCCGCUCGGUCAGAUGGGAAUAAGCUUCCAUCCGGAAACAGCGCAAUGUGCCUUGCUUUCGCAAGUCAGAGCUGCAAGCAUGCCGAAAUGGUCUCGGUAUGUAUGAAUGAAAUCUUACUGGUCAAUGAACCGUCACCGACUCACCGCACGUGAUGGAGAGUUAUCUUUACGUCGGAGAGGGGAGUACGGGUGUCAUACGAUACGAAUCGCUUCCUCCAUGCAUGACGUGAAAUACGGUAGCUUCUUCUGAACCUUAUACCAUUUCCUUCCCCGGCACUGUGCCGUAGAGCGUAGACAAGAGAUGUCUGUCUGUCAGGUUGCACAUUUGCACAUCACUACCUGAUAAAAAGGAGCAAGUAGUCACUCGUAAGAAAAGAGCUCAGAGUCGAUGGGAAUGCAUCAGAUUGCUCUGCUCUGUAGUCAAAUGCACAUAGCCUUUUCCCCUUUCCGGUUCAGAAAUGGUUGGGAGCAUGAUUCCCAACCAGUUGACAGGACGCAGUUGCUUGCGAUUGUCGCACUAAAAGCAAACAAAUUUGAGAAUGGUUUUGGGUUAUAUUACGAUGCGCAGAGAUCUGCAUACGUGCGGCAUGCAGGACUGGAGUAGUAGUUACACUGCGAUCCUGUGCAUUCCUGCAUCGUUCUUUCUGAAAGGUAUGAGUGCUGUGCUGCUUUGAGAACCCUCCAUGCACGCAUACGACAGCGUAUGUGAUCAGUUGGCCCUUGGCCGUCCACAAUUGGCAACCCGCCAGCCGCCAGCGCCAGCAAAUCCGCAGAGGUAAAACAGUUCCCGUGAGCCUGGGGCCUGCCUGAGACCCUGACCGUGCAGUAGACACUGCGCAAAACGGCGCACCGCGACUCAGAGACAGAGUGCACAUGCAGGCAGUACGCGCGGAGCUGCGGCGGUACCGCAUGCAUGCUACCAGGACGAGAUCAUGGACCGUGAGCAAGGCGAAGCACGAGAGUCUCCUGUACGAUCGACGACGCACGCGUGACUCUUUCCCUUUCUCGGAACCAACAGGAGGUACGUGCUACCAAUCUGCCCGUGGUGCGUGCGUGCUCAUGCACCAGAGCCAGAGACCCAGCAAGACGCCACGGCCGCCGCGGCUGGCCACGCCCGCCCGUGUGCCGCGCGCGUCCCCACGGGGGCCACGGCCGGGCCGGCGCCCCGCAUAAAACGCCAGAAUGGGCGUAGGUUCCCGUGACUUUCUGCAUGCGCACCUGCGGACGCAGCAGCGUACGAGCAGGCGGUGCGCGGCCGCCCGGGGGCGCAGUCACGGGCCGGCCGCGCGUGGCGCCGACGCGUGACCGCGCGCGUCCCGCCGCGCGGAACUGAGGCCCGAUCGAGCUGGGGGGACGACCCCGCAGUUCGUUCCGGCGUCAUCGGUGCGUCUAACAGCAACAACGUGCCGGGUGGGCACCGAUCGAAUCCGUUGCCGCCCGCCGUCGCUGUCGAUCAGCCGGUGUGUGCGACGCUGUGGGGCGUGUGCGAUGCGAGGUGUUUGUGUGCGUGGUGGAGAAGAGAAGCCGUUGGAGUCUUGCAGUUGCAGGUGAUGAUGACUCGAGCGUUGCUGGCUCAUCACUCAUGGCAAUGCAGGUACUGAUGAAAAACGAUCCCGGGAGAUGUACGGCUGCCAUGUUGACGCGCCAGGCCAAACUAGUUCUAUACCACCAGCUAAGGCUACCUGCAUUGCGUUGCAUGCUAGUGCUGCCUCUCAGAGUGUACUUUAGUCCUUGGCAACAUUUUGAUGAUCAUGCAUUUAGCGUUCCUACUAGUGCCAAUCUACUCAUACGGAAAGUGCCGGUUAUUUAAAUUUGUGGGAUUAAUUACAAGACAAGAUGCGGUUUCAUCAUCGAGUCAGUUGGGAUCUAGUAUAUAUAGGAUAGAGAUUAUGCAGCAGGCACAGGUUAGUGGCUGGUGGGUCUCCCUUGCUUGCAAAAAACUCAUCGCGGGUCUGAUACCCACUCAUCAACUCUGAAAAACGUCGCUGCAGAGUAGUAGAGCAGUGAUAUUCUACCAACCUUUCUUUUGAUCUUUUCAGUGUCCCAGCUGCCAACCUUCAGAUCAGCAUGGCCUGCACUCCGCUGCAACUACAGCAUCCACGCGAUUCAUCAGCAUGCACACAGCUGUCUGGGAAACAUCAUGCGUGCUGUUCUUUGUAGCACCUCAUGAUCGACAUAGAUGUAUAUCUGGGAUGUGAAUAGUACAAAUCAAAUAACACCAUGUAUAUAUAUUUAUAUUUAUCUUCUGGAUUCUUGCUCAGGGAAGAGAAAUCGGUCGGUGAUUGGUUGGUUCAGCGUACGCUGCUAGCUGCUGGGUACUGCAGAAGCAUGCAAAAGUGCAGAGCUUCAGUAUUUCAGACCGAACUCUGAACGUAUUAGCUGUCCAGCAUUUGGGACCCUAGUGGAUUAAGAUCCAGCACAACCAUUCUUCUAUCGUAAGUGCAGCGAAACGAUCCAUUUAAUCGAGCCGUCCGCUCUCGUACGUGUCACGAACCCAGGGUUUCUGUACAUUCCACACAUGAGGUGUCAGAUCCGGCCUGCAUUCGGUUGCUCCGUGACAAGUCAAGUUGUAUCUUCCAUUGUCGCGUCGUGCUCGUGCUAGCCGAUCGAAUAUCGGAACGUGCUCCAACAUGUCGUAUGGGACCGAAGUGUCACCGCCGGAGAAUGUUCAGUUCCCAAAGAAGACACUGUUGGCAUCUUCAGAUCUGGAAGACGAAGGUGUUGGUUGGAACCUGCCGAACCUGACAGUCAGAGAGCAAGGGAGCUUGUCUGAAAUUUUGGAGGAUUUUCAAAUGCAGCUAAACUCGUACUUCUUCAUGAAUGCCAUAAUUCUGUUAAUCCGGACAAUUUGGACAGCUAGGAAUGAUUAAUCUUCAAAGCAAUGCAACCAAACUUGCACAGACAAGUCCAAGUUUCCUCCAAAAAGAGCUUGACCUUCUCUCCUUUGGAGCCAAACAGAAAUCGAGCCACUUUUAUUUGAGUCCUGGUGCCAAAGUCUAUUGUAAUAAUUAUUACAGUCCUUUUUCUUGUUUUCUUUGUUUCUUGAUUCCUCUGGUUGUAACCUGUUUAACUUUUGUUCUUUAGUUAAUUCUCUGUGGGAGCUUCGGCUCCUCCAAUUUCAUAAAAAAAGGUGUUGGUUAAUACUUGAUCGUCGUAUCCCGAUCUGAAUCCGUCGCUUUUGGCCCACCUUCAACUACGAGGCUUAAUUGGCAACAACCAAUUGUUAAUCACGUCCGAUAGUGCUGAUGAUUAGAGCUUUUUUGAGUAAUUUACUAGUCAAAUCAAGUCUCUGAUAGUGCCAUGUACAACAUCACGAAUAUUAGACGACAAAUGGACACACAAAAAGUUGGAGCUAGCAGGUAUGCGGCCGGCCUUAUACUGUACCUACGUGCUGGGGCAUCGGAUAGAUCGGCGGAAGCACGGCGAGCCGACGAGUAAGUGCUCCACCCAGCUGCAGGCGAUGAAAGACGCGGGAGGCGGCGGUGGAGGACUGGAAGCUAGCGAACCGUGGACCAGGGGUCGCCGGAGGGUGAGAUGAGAUCAUGAACAAGGCAAGGCAUGGCAGCAACGCCCUGCUGUGGCUGCAUGGGCUGCAUCCAUCUGAUCCAUAUUUUCUGGUUGGGCCUGACUGCCCUUAUAGGCCCAUGUCAGUUCGCAGCAUACCUUACCAUCGCCGGCCCAGACCGGCUCACAGUCACAGCGCCCCCUGCGGCCCUGCUCUGUCCCGCUGGCUCCUGCUCCUGCCAACUGCGGCCUUGCUCCGCCUACCGCCGUCGCCGCCUAAACCCCCCCCCCCCCAGUCCCCCACCGCUCCGCGCACGUCUCCUCGCGCCGCCGGUCGCCGGUGAAUAGCAGGGGGUCCGUGCCUUUCCGUCAUAAAGGACUUCGUCUUAUUGGCCGAGCCUCCCUUUGCCGAGCAAGAGCACACAAAAGUAGGGAGGUGGGCAUGGCGGAGGUGCAUCUAGGUCUGCCAGGUCCCUGGGCGGCGGAUUACCGGGAGAAGGCCGACCACUACACCACUAAGAUCGGUGGAGUCCCUGUAUGUCUUUUGUGUGUACCUCUUCCUGGUUCUAGCUUAUGUUUUUGCUUAGGAAUUAGAGGCCGAGCUUAUGCCAUGCAUCUUCUUCAGUUAACCCACCACGAUUAUAAAUUUUUCUUGAUGACUCUCCUCAGAGGUGAGAAAUUUGUCUGAAAGCCAAGCUCCUUUUGAGUCGUUUGCUGUUUUUUUUUUCCUGCAGGAUUGGCCAACUGGUGAUAUGGGCAUUAAGCCCGAGACUCUUCAGUGCAGCUUAUGUGGGACCAAGCUCUGUCUUGUUGCUCAGGUGAGUGUCGUCGAUUUAGCAAGAUUUUACUAGUUGAAACAUGAAACAGAGUGUUGCGGUGCUUGGGCACAGGCUUGUAAAGUAGCUUGCAAUUCUCUGACUUAGCAUUGCAAACUAUGUUUACAUGCUGAUCCAUGAUGGUACAGAACGCUUGUAUGUUGAUACUAGUACUUUUGCCUCACCCUAUUUAGUGGUGUUCCUGUAAUAAUAAUAAUAAUCUGAUUCUAACCUAAGGUACAUGCGCCCGUGGCAAAGCUAAACAUUGAGGAGAGGAUAAUCUAUGUGCUUGUUUGCCUGACACCAGAGUGUGGACCUAAACCUCAAAGGCAAGUAUAUGCCAAUUGAUUCAGUCGGUUUAGCAGAUAUUCAGACCUUUACAUGAUCUUAAGUCAGUAUGUAUUUUCCCUUUUUUGUUUCCCUUUUUCUUCUUAUAGUUGGAAGGUCCUAAGAGUUCAAAAAUGCCGUAAUGUUAUGCAAACAGAAGGCUGUGGCGAUGAAUUAGGUCAGUCGAAUGGACCUCCUUCUACAAGUGUUCCAGAAGAACAGAAUGAUAAAAAUAAAUUUCCUGAGAUCAACGACGACGAUUUUGAUCUAGAUGCCUUAGCCGAAGCACUUGAGCAAGCUGCAACUUUGGCAUCUAACUCAAAGAAGAAGAAUAAAUCGAAGCAUGCUAAUGCUCCUGUAAAACGUUCUGUAUUGAAGGAGCAAGCAUGUGAUCUGAGCAUACCAGGUGAGGACAAAUUUUAAAGAACUCGUUACCAUGUAUGCAAAAUCUGAGUGUUUUGAUCUGAUAACAUUUUGUUGCAGUUCUUCCUUGUUUUUACAUAUAUUAUGAUAAGGAACUAUAUGGGGGCAAAGGCACUGUGGGUUCAAGUAGCAGUGAGUUGGUUUUGGACAAAGAAAUCAUGGAUACUGCAAAUGAUGAAGAAGAAAAAUGGGAAGGAGAAAAGUACGAGUACGAUAAAGCUAUUGGUGCUGACAGAACCUUUUUAAAAUUCAAGAAACGGUUGGAUGCGUACCCCCAGCAAUGCUUUAGGUAGUUAGCCAGUUAGUUCAUAUAGUAUCAUUGCAACCUGACUUGGUAUUUGCAAACCAUUUGUUUCUUGUCCUUUUUGGUUUGCACAACCUGAAUUAAAUUUUGGCAUGCAAUAUUUCUUUAGGUAUUCUUAUGGUGGCAAGCCACUGUUGGCUACAACAAAAUUACAAGAUCCUGGCACCUGUAGUCUGUGUGGUUCACCACGCCAAUAUGAACUGCAAUUGAUGUCUCCUUUAUCAUACUUUCUCCAUGAAGCUGGAGACGGUUCCUCAAAUUAUGCACCCAGCAGCUGGACUUGGCUGACUGUUAUCAUAUACACUUGCUCCAAGGUAUGUCUUACUCUCCAAUUUCCUGAUACUGAAGUCUUAAGGAAUUCUGCAUGCCCAAAACGUGAUCCCUGGAUAGUAGUUCUACUUCAAAAAUGAUUUGAUUUACAAAGUACACCAUGAAGAACAUUAUCUCAUCAAAGCAUCACUUCAGCUUUGUGCAGUGAAGAGAUUUCAGUGUCCUUAAUGUUCUUAAUGUACUUUCAGAAUUCCUAGCAGAUAAGGAUGCUAGGUUGUCUGAAAUGUCGGCCAGGAUUUAAUGCAGUUUAAAAAGUAGACUUUCAAUGGUUCCAUUUUCUCAGACAAACAAAUUUCUGGUUUGUGAGUUUUGCCAGAUUCCAUAUUGGCUCUUGGGAACACUUUUAGUUAUCCAUGCUAUGGAAAUCUUGAAAGUUCAGUGGGCAGUUACAUAUACAUAGUUGUCAUCGUUUAGUAUUUCUUCUUCUUCUUGGUACUGUGGUGAAACCAGACUUGCUCAUUGUAUUCUUUUGUUUACAGUUCUCCACUUUGCACUAUUCCUUAGCCCGUUUCAAUUUACUGCAGAGCUGCUGCCCGUCUCCAUGCGGUGGAAAGCCUCAGAGCUGUUGUUGGGGAGUAGCGGAGGAGGUGAUCCUGAUUCAGGAGGAUGAAGUCCUUUAGGAUCUAACCAGUGCCAGUUGAGAAACUAUUGCAGAUUUGAGCGUGUGAUACACAGUUUUUGUUUUCCAAUUGUUAGAGUUGUAAAGCUAUCUGCAAUUUUGAAAUGUGUUUUGUGGCUGCUUUUAUCUUGCCCUAGUAUCCUGCAGAACUGUUAUAGUUAACACGAAUUGGUCUAUUGUAAGUUUGCAUAGUAUUGUACCAGCCUAGCUUUUAAGGUUUUUGUCUGUGUGACUGUUCUUUUCCGCUGCAAAAUCAUUUUUUUUCUAGGUGCCUGAAUUGUCAACUCCAAUCAAAGGGUGGCCAUGUUACGCUUCAACAUCAAGGGAUAUGAUGAUCCGGUAUGUACUAUGUUCUUGCGUUAGCCUGUAAACCCACCAAUCCAUGCUGUCCAUGUCUAGAAACUUCUCUUUUUUCACUCAAAAGAAAAGAAUCUAGUACUUAUUUUUUUGCUUCCUUGGGCCUCAUAAUAAUAAUUGUAAGAAAGUAGUACUAUUCUGGAUUAAAGUACACCUAUUAAGUGAUAAAACCGUACCGCAGCUCAUAUAUAAUGUAAUGAACUGCAUAAUUCAUCAGCUGUAUUAUUCUCGUUGCCAACCCUACCUGCACUGACGUUGAUGCUUCAUUUGCAACUUGUUGGUUUUCGGAUCGCCGGAAUUGCCAGCCAGGCUGCACCUGCACAUAAAUAAAUUAGCCAUAAUAUUGUAGUAGGGGUUUUUGCAGCCAUGUUUUCUCCGUUUGAAGAAUCUCUACGUACGAAAAGGAUGUGUAGUAUUAUACUCCACUCACGCCUGCUAAUGUUUUGUACCUCUGCUGAGUUCAUCGGAAAAAAAAAAACGUUCGUGGAGUGCACCAAACUGCUCGCUCGGACGCUCGGUCUUGUUUAGACUAGGACCAGCAUAUGCAUAUGGUUUAUUCGCCUCUUGUGAUGGAGGUGUCCUCCACCUGUACUCAGCACGUCGGCGUCCGCGAUGUUCCGAGUCCAAGACGGCACGUCGCCCGCCUGACCUGACGCUGACGGGGCGAAUACGAACCAACCAACAUCUACGAAAUGCGGCGCCUCGCCACUGGACGGGCCGAGUAAACGCCUCCGCCGGACACGCCACUCCCUCCUCAUCCAUGGCGCCAUGCCAGGCUCGGCCCGUCGUGCCCGGGGCCGGUGCGCUCGGCCGUGCCGUGCCCGUGCGUGCGGUGGUCGAAUCCUGGGGCUGCCUUGUGGACGCCGAGAACGAACGAGAGGGGAUCGGCUGCGAGCCUGCGAUUGCGACUCGUACGUGCGCCGUGCGGUGGCCGAGCAGUGGGAUGGAUCGGCGGGAGCGCUGACGCGCGCGCGCACGUAACGCCGCGUCGGCCCCGCGUCGCGUGGACGGACGGCCCGGACGCAGCGAAUGGGGCGCGCGCCGCGCGGGGCGGUGGCAACCGGGCGCGGCGCCUCCUUGACUCGUCUUUGGUCUUUCCUUGAUUCCUUCUUCCUCCCUCGCGCUGCGGCGGCUCUGCUCGGCCUUGGCAGCUCGCCGCGCCUUGACUUGCCGAGCCUAGCCGAGGAUCGCCGGCUCGGUGGGUGGCUGCCGCCGCGAGUGAGUGGUGCGGUGCCGCCACGCCAGCGUAACUGCGGACUUUGGAGUGCGGACGCUUCCGUCCGCUUUCCGAGGACGGACGAGAGAGCUAGAGCUAGCCGAUCGGUGGUCUCUAGCAUGAUGAUGGGUCGGAGCUGUGCCGCCCGGCGUGACCUACCCUACUGCAGUCUACAGUGGGGGGCACUCAUGUGCUGUCCAUCCGAGUUCCGAAAGGUGACGCCAAUGUGCGCCCGCGCGCGCGCACCGGUCCAGACGCGACACGCCAGGCUCGUAUCGUACGUUCCGCCGGGGGUCCAUCUCGCCGCCCCUGAUCGGCGAGGCCGCAGAUUUCAUUCACCCUCCCUCUCCAUGAUUGGGGACGGCCUCCAGCGAAUUGGCCACGUCGAUGUCGAUCCCAACAGAUCUCUCACUGUACGGACACACCCGGGUGCCGUCGUUUUCAGAUGAUUGUCCGCAAGCACUAGCAGCGAUGAACGAUGAUCUUUCAGGCCCCCACCGUUGGACACCUCGUGUCACUGUAAGGGAUAUUGUUAAAAACAGGACCAUUUCUUCUCCUGUAGUAUAAAUAAUGUGGUAAUUCUAUUCUAGUGGUCCGUGGCUUGUGGCUAGUCAAUCGGACGGCCAGGAGGCGCUGAACCCACGCGGUGCGGGCCCCUCGUGCUUGCCUCGUUAACGUUAGUCGUCAAGCUUACGCACGCACGCGGCCGCCGAGCAAAAACAAAACAAGGAGCUGUUCAUGGCGUCAGAACUGAUUGAGGCCUUGUUUAGAUAAAAACUCUUUGGGAUUUGAUAAUGUAACACUUUUAUUUGUAUUUGAUAUUUAUUGUCCGGACUAACUGAAUUCAAAAAAUUCAUCCCACAAAUUAUAAAUUAAUUGUAUAAUUAAUUAUUAUUUUUAUUUAUAUUUAAUGCUUCAUACCAAUACAACGGAAAAUCUUAUAAAGUUUUCGAACUUUACGAUAAACUAAACAACGCGAAGCGGCCACCGCACCCACCGUCAGCUGCUCCAGUCCCAGGCUCUCCACGAUGCCCCGUUGGCCGUUGCUUCUAACCUCACGCGACACGACGCCGUGCAGACAGCAGCAGCAGCCCGCGGCCGGCUCACCGCGUCGCCCCGCGAUGCCGGGCUGCGGCUGGGGCCGGAGCCGGAUCCGAGCGCCAGGCCGCGCGUCCGCUUCCAAAUCGCGCAUGAUGCCAUGAUUAGGUGGUUGAUGGCACUCGGGUGGUGGUGGUGCGCUGCUGCUCUGCUCCUUCCGAGCCCCAAAAGCCAAAUUCCAUCCCCCUAUGGCAUCGGUACGCACGAUGGCAAAGCUCCCACCUUUUCCUCCCCCACGCCUCUUUUUAUCUCGCGCCUCCCGUCCCCAUCGCUCCCCCUCGCCGCCCAGGUCUCCUCCACCCUUUCGCUUCGCCGCCUCCGGGGUUCUCCGCGCCGGUACUGAACUCCGCCUCUCACUUCUCUCUCUUUCUCUCUUGCUAUGAAAAACGCAAGCUCUCACCUUCUCUCAGGUUUUAAUUGUUGCUUCUUGGAGGAGAAUUCCACUUCCCUUCUCGUGGCGUUCGUGUGGCAGACCUUUUAUUAGUAUACUACUUAGCAGUAGGACUUGUUUGCCCUGUGCUUUUCUUUAUGACCCCAAUGAAUGAUUUCUUUCGAGCAAAACUUGGCAAAUUGUAGCAGUUGCUGUGGCUCUUGUUUGUUUUAGUGGAAAUUUGGUGAACUCAUAUCUCUGUAGAUAAAUUAGUAUGCUUAUCUUCUCUAAAGUUAGAAAAAUCAAGGUACAUGCUGUGACAUUGCUUGUCAAUUUCUGCUGCAUGUUUCUACCUUUCGAAUACAAGGAGGUUGGCUUUGUAAUAGCAUAGCAGAUAGCACCUAAGCAAUUGUCUUCGCCUUAAGGGUAGCACACAACUUUUUGUUUUCUUUUGCGUAUCCGUUUUAUGGUUUUUAGAUUUUAUAACUUAUAACAUGAGCUCAAGGAAUUUGUUCAAACAAAAGAAAUCAUUAUCUUUGGGAAUUUGCAACUUCUUAUAUCGAACUAGAGUUCAGACGAAGAUGUUCUGUCUGUUGCUGUAGAUUUCCUGCUGGUUGGAAAGUUCACAGUUCUUUCCCUCUUCGUUGUUUAAUCUCCUUUCUCUUUAGUUGCAACUUGCAAGUUUUGGGCAUUCAAGGCUUUCCUUUGGGUGCAGUUCUUGUGACAGUCAUUUCAGGACUAAUUGUUUUGUGCUGGAAUUAUUGGAUGCAUGAAAGUUAAGAUACUGCCUUAAAUGAUUGUCUUUCUCUAUGGUUUCAGUGCAUUGAUUUUGAUGGAAAAGUUGGCAUAAUUGAAGAUUUGCGGUAGAUCUUGUGAAUUUUAGUGGGAAUUUGGUAAGUUCAUCCAUUUCUUUUGUAGGCAGUUUCUUAAUUCCAUGUUUGAGCUGAAGUUCCCGAUUCAAGGAAAAAACUAAUCUUUUAUUCGUUAGAGUACCUAUAUAAUUUUCUAUGCGUCAACAGCAUUGCUUAAUGUUUAGUGCAUACCCAUGCAAUAAUUUCUAAAUUUUGCUCUGUAAAACAUGUGCUCAAGAGAUAUGGACAAACAACAAAAAUAAUUAUAACUGGAACUGUGCAACUUCUUGUCCAGUGGACAUGGAUUGUCUCUACAGUAAAGUUUUUCAAACUUUGUAACUCAACUUCAGAGGGUUGUGAAGAUAUGUCAGUGAUUAUCGGUGUAAGGAUUCUGAAGCAAUAAGUGCUAUUACAGUCUUUCACGUGAUGCUGCUAUUUUAAAUUAAACAAACAUUAUGUUGGCCAUCAGAUGACUUCCCCACAGGCGUUUUAAGUUUCUUCAGUAAUCAUAUUGCUUCUCUAUGAUUUUUUUUCAUGCUACUUAACUGUGAAAUCAACUGAUCAGCAAAAAAUUUUAUGUAUGCUUGUUGAAACUGUUUCCAUUAGAUACAUAUGCUAACUUUGGUACAAUUUUUCUCACUGCUGAGUCCAUUUAUAGUUGUACUCAGUCCUCAGAUUCUUGUGGUUUUUUGCAUGCAGAUUUUCGAAAUAUUGAGCCGGCUUGAUAUUUGCACCUUUUUUUUCUCUCACGUUAUUUGCGUCAUCUUAAUAAAAAUGGAACAUUAGCUUCAAUCAGCUGUUAUCUUAUUAUUAUUAUUAUCAGCCUUCAAUCUUAUUUGUUCAAUUUCACUUAUGGCCUUACUUGCUUCACCUGCAGAUCGUGGAAAGUUUAUGAAGUCCCUUUGGGGUUCUUGAUGCAUAAGAUAGUGUGCAUGUGAUUUGCCCAUAGUUUCGGCAGCCUCAUCGUUUUCCAUUUGGGAUCAAUAAAACUUCAUGCUCAUGGACAGGGCUGAUACAUCAGGUUUUGUCAGUGGUGGCAUACAUUACAUGAACAUCCAUGUGUAUUUCCAUUUUGUGUAUACUAUGUGCUUCCUCAGUGGUGAAGUUGUAAAGCUGGGGUUCUGAUCUCUGUUGGUUGGAUUGAGCAUCUGGUCUCUGAACAGCAUAUAAAUUUCUUCCUAUCAUAAUCCUACCUUAUUUAUACUAAGCAGGAUGGACCUCAAUAUGACAAAUCUUUGGUUUCGUGGGAAGGAACAUAUAGCUGCUUCUUCAGUCUCCCAGGCCCAACCAUCUGCCAUAAAUUGCAGGAAUGAAGAACUAGCUGUGUCAGCCGUAAACUUGGGUUGCAUCAGGAGCUCAGAAAUAUCACAGAACUCUAGAAAAUCCUUUCAGCAUGUUGAUCAAAGUUUGGCCACUCCUGAUGAUAGCUGCAGGCUGGUCCUUGGACUUGGGCCAACACCAAAUCUAUAUUCUGCUGAUAGUCACUCAUUUGGUGGAAACAAAACUUAUCAAUCUGCAACUUUGCUCACUCAACAUUGUGCCACAACCGACCCUGGUUUAAAGUUGGGUCUUUCAAGAUGUAGCUCAAGAAAUUUGCAAUCUACAACAGCGAGUGGCAAGAAGAAUUAUUCACCUGCAAGGAAGACCGGUAUCAUCUUUCCACUUAUUGAUGAGGGAUCAACUUCAGCAAAGAGGAAACGAGGUGGCUAUAUGCUGCCACUUCUGUUUGCGCCAAGAUCAGAAGGUCUUUGUCUUAAUGGAACAUCUCCAGACACUGAUGUCCAACAGCAUGAUGAAACUGGAUGUGAUACUGAAAGCGAUCAUGAUAGAUCUCUGAAUCAUCACGAGAUUCAGCCUAGCCCUGGUUUAUCCAUUACAGCUGAUUGUUCUUUUGCUGCAACUUCUGAUAUAGUAGCCGGUACAAGUGGUGAGCAGAGGAGUCAUCAGCGCCAUCCAAAGAAAUGCAGGUUCAAUGGGUGUUUGAAAGGUGCAAGGGGUGCAUCAGGACUUUGCAUUUCUCAUGGCGGUGGCCAGAGGUGCCAGAAGCCUGGUUGCAACAAAGGUGCUGAGAGUCGAACAGCAUUCUGCAAAGCUCAUGGAGGAGGGAGACGCUGCCAAGAGCUAGGCUGCACCAAAAGCGCCGAAGGGAAGACAGAGUUCUGUAUUGCUCAUGGUGGUGGGCGCCGGUGUGGGAUUGAGGAAUGCCCGAGAGCGGCAAGGGGAAAAUCAGGAUUCUGCAUAAAACAUGGUGGAGGUAAAAGGUGCAGGAUAGAGGGUUGCACUCGUAGUGCUGAAGGCCAUCCUGGGUUGUGCAUCUCACAUGGAGGUGGUCGCCGGUGCCAGUACCCAAACUGCGAUAAGGGGGCGCAAGGAAGCACCAUUUUUUGCAAGUCCCAUGGUGGAGGCAAGAGGUGCAUGUUUGAUGGUUGUACCAGAGGCGCAGAGGGCAGCACGUCCUUCUGCAAAGGGCAUGGUGGCGGGAAGAGGUGCCUCUUUGAGGGAGGUGGGGUGUGCCCAAAGAGUGUCCAUGGUGGAACUAGCUUCUGUGUUGCGCAUGGAGGGGGCAAACGCUGCUCCGUUCCUGGGUGCACCAAGAGCGCCCGUGGUCGUUCUGAUUGCUGUGUGAAGCACGGUGGUGGCAAGCGUUGCAGGUUUGAUGGGUGCGACAAGAGCGCACAGGGGAGUACUGACUUCUGCAAGGCCCAUGGCGGGGGCAAGCGAUGCGCUUGGAGCACCGGCUGUGACAAGUUCGCUCGGGGAAGGAGUGGUCUCUGCGCUGCACAUACGACCCUGAUGGCUUCCAAGCUAGAGCAUGAUCCUGGACAUGCACGAAGCAUGGUCGGGCCUUCCCACUUCAGUGGCAUUGUCUCCGGUUCAUCAGCUGCUGAUAGCAACAUGGACCAUGCCAUCUCAUCAUCUGGCCAUGGCGCAUGGUCAGACUGCGUUGACUCGUCAGGAGACAUGCAGAGCGCUGGCAGGCUCCUUAUACCACAUCAGGUGCUGGUCCCUGGCUCAUUGAAGGCCUCUCCUUCGUGUGGUCUAGCAGGCAACGGCCGGGAUGACGGAGGGAGUCGGAGCCAGAGCUUUGGGCUCGUGGUGCCGGAGGGAAGGGUGCACGGUGGAGGGCUGAUGUCCAUGCUUGGAGUUGGAGGCAACCUGGGAAACAAUCCUGAUUGUUCGAAAACCUGAAACACCAAGUAUGUGAUGUAGUGAGCACAAACAGAGAAUUCAGGCUAUCUUGCAUGCCUCUGUUAUGAUCAUUGCAAUGUAAUAUAUACAUGAUUUUUCAAAUGGCCAUUGUAUAACUGUAGUACUUGCCAAUUGGCCAUUGUGUAACUAUAGUAUUUGCUAUGUACAAGAGUGGUUUUAGCAUUUAGUCAAUGUUGUGCACAGAGCUGAGAACUGCAUAGUUACUUGGGUUCAGAAAUUAUAUGAAAGCUUGUAAGUUGUUUCUCUCUGAAUUUUUGCAAACCUAUUUACUGAAAUAUUUAGUCCUUCCUGAUGGGUUCGAGCCUUAGGCUAGUAAUCAGUGGGAGUGUUGGAUUCACUGUGACCUAGUGCUUUUAAAACCGGUAACAACUGAUAGUUUAUUCAGAAUUGCAGAAAAAUGUGUAAUGUGGAAAUUUAGAAGUUUGAUCACAUAAAAGGUAUUUCCUCCAUUCCAAAUUAUAAGAUAUUUUGUUUUUUCUAGAUAUACUACCUCCGUUUGCGUUUACUUGUCACCAAACUUUUACUGUAGCAAUUUUGACUAUAUGUUUUUUUCUGCAAAAGAUUUUUAGAUACAUCAAGUUUUCACAUAUAUGAUUCUUUAUUGAAUAUACUUCAUUAGUGUUAUAUAUAUUGAAGUAUCUAAGAUUUUUUAGAAGAAAAAAAUAGAUAGUCAAAUUUGCUACAGUAAAAAGUUGGUGACAAGUAAACACAAACGGAGGGAAGUAUUAUUUAUUUUUCUUGUGUAUCUAGACAUAUUGUAUGUUUAAGUGCGUAACAAUAACUAUAUAUCUAGAAAGCCAAGACAUCUUAUAAUUUAGAAGGAGAGGAGUAAUUUGUUUUCAAAAUUUCAGCAGAUUCUGUAGAUUUGGCGUUAAAUUUGUAUCAUUAUUGGUCCCUCUGGAAUUGCUUGGCCGUCAUUCCUCACCAAGCAGUCAAGCACCCAUGGUAGGAAAACCCUUUGCCUGGGGAACUUGCCUCAUGUUGUAGCUUUCCCAACAAAGAAAAUGGGUCAAGACGCUUUUGGUGAAGAGGGGGAUGAUCAUGUCACGCCGUUAAGAUCGUGUCCUGUAAUAAGUGUUCACGAUCUGCAUUUAGUCUCUGUUUAUAUUCGCUUUUUAAAUCAAACUAUAUUAUUAGCUAUCCGUCAUCCAUUUUUCAGGUGAUCAUGUGAUGCACAUCCAUUUAUGAUUCCACAUCACGUAGACAGUCCAAAGGGGUGUGAAAGUCUCAAGUUUGUGUGCUUGGUAUGUUGUUAUGAAGAGCUCUUAUUCAUGUGUUGUUCCCUAGUUCUUGCUCCACUAUUUUUUUUUCUUUUGAUCCACUUGAACAGGUGCCUCACCCUCCGGUCAACUAAGUUUAGAUUCGUCAACCCAGUCUCGCGACAACCAAUUUUGUUGAGAUCAAGCACACUUAACCCCAAGGACUUGACGGGCCAGUUAACAAGGCAGUGGCCACAAUUAGUACAUUAUCUUCUCUUUUCUGUAGGAAGGAUCUCUUGAUCUUUUUAAUCCGUUUUGUUGCCCAAGUUGCUAAAGGAAACACGAUCGUGUGGUAAAAUCGGUAAGGGCUUGUUUAGUUCACCCAAAAACUAAAAACUUUUCAAGAUUCUCCGUCAUAUCGAAUUUUUCGGCACAUGCAUGGAGCAUUAAAUAUAGAUGAAAAUAGAAAUUAAUUGUACAAUUUAUCUGUAAAUCGCGAGACGGAUCUUUUAAGCUUAGUUACUCCAUGAUUGGAUAAUGUUUGUCAAAUAAAAAUGAAAGAGCUACAGUGUUAAAAUCCAAAACAUUUUCGCAUAUAAACAAGGCCUAAAACGAGUCAAGUGACUAGAGUCAUAUAUAAAUCCGUUUUUGUCGUAUUAAUAGGCAAAACACCUAUAACUUUUUUUUUCAAAUAACACAUAUGAAGGAUGAGCACGUUUGAUCUAAAAAUUCUUUUUUUUAUCAUGCUAGUAAGGUACAAAUAUAAAAAAAAGCUCGUUUGGUUAUAGGUGUUGAAAAAAAAACAAAAUAUAACUUUCCGCAUCACUACCAAUACACUAUGAGCUCUCGUUUGAUUACGAGUCUAGGAAGACUAUGCCUAGACAGGUAGAUUCCAAGAAGUUACCCGUGACAUGUUUGGAUUAGAUCCUGGUGACUUGCGACAAUCCAGUUGCUCCCAGGCAAUCAAAAUCUAGCGCCUGGCUCAGUUGCCUGGCCUUUUUGGUUUGAUUUAAACCAAUAAGUACCAUCUUUAAAUACAGAGUAUUUAUUAUUAGAAAUAUUUAUCCUCACAAAAAAUAUUUUGAUAAUAAAUCUACUAAAUGUGGAAAACAUAAUGCAACUCAUUUAAUUUGAUAAUAACCAUAGUAAUGUUUUAGAGCACUAGCAAAACAAUACACUCAUCCAACUUACUUGGUCAGACAAUAAUUAUCAAUUUUACAGACAACUUUUAGGCAACACUUUUUGCUAGACAAAUCGUCCAGAACUCCAACCAAACAUGCUCUAUAUUGUACGCUAUUUUUCGUCUAAAUUAAUAGACAAAGCGUUUGCAUCUAUCGUGGUAUUGGUAACAAAAGUACACAUGCAGAAGCUGAACGCUUGCCAUUUGGUAGUUUGAUUGUUUCACCCAUAGACGGUGGUGACACGUUGUGCCAUAGACCACUAUAGAAUUUAGAUUAACAUUGAAAUUAUAGAGUAUAAGUGUUCUAUACUAUAAAUAAAAAUUACAUUUAAAAUACUAUUAUUUAGCUUAUUAUAUUUAAAUAGACCACCCUUACACUAAACCCUAAUUUUGCCACUGGUUUCACCUUUUCUCGUUGCCGUUGGUUGGGCACACUGAACAGCUACCCCGUCCUAUCCGAACCUGUGAUGGAUCGCGCACAGAAGAUCACAUCACGCGACACGAUGUUCUUGCCCUCCUUGAUCCCCGCGAAGAGGCUAGUUCUGCCGUUCGAUGUCCCGCAUCGCACCAUCGACGGUCGAUCUGUCUCGGCGGACAGGAAAUGCUCGUCAGAACAAGUAUUACACUAUAUCACAGAGUUAAAGACAAUUAAUUACAUAUUAUUUAUGGUAUUUUGCUGAUGUGACAGCAUAUUUAUUUAAGAAAGAGGUUGAAAAAAAUAAGACUUCAAAUCUUAUUUAAACUACAAGUCCACAUUGUUCGAGAUAAUAAAUAACUUUAGACUCUAUGAUAGAGUCUGCAUUGUGAGUGCCCUUAUAGCAGGCUGUAAGCCAGCUAAAUGCUGAGGUGGAGGAGAGAGAAGAGGAGAGAGUAAAAGCCGGUUGUAAGCUUACAACCUCAGACACAAAAACCAAAAAAAAUCUGUAAAACAGACAAGUGGACCAUGUAUUAAUAAUGAUGAGCUAACUAUUAUAUGAUGAGUGGACUGCAAAUACUUGCUCUCACUGAGACCGGGACCCAUAGAGCACUCUCUGACCACUGGCCCGCCUGUCAGAAGCCACCGGGCAUCGUCGACGCCGCCGGUCGUCCCCGUUAAACCCCCCGUCCCCGACUCGAGGCGAUUCUACUUUCUCCCGCACCGCAACACCGCCAGAACCCUCCGUCCCUCCCUCUCCCACCCACUCUACGAAGGAACAAGUGAAGCGCGACGGCGGUCGCGCCGCCCGCCGCCUCCCACCACCGCUGGCGCCACGCUGCCUCGCCGCACCGCCAGCUGUCCGCCGACCCCGCUCUCCGCGUCCGCGUCCGGCCUACCGCAGCUUCCCCUUCACCCACCAGGUUCGGAUCCACCACCCGCCGUUCGUCCGCACUUUGUAAGAGUGGGGAAUCUGAGAGCGUACCAAGGAAGAAUGCAGUUUAUUUUCCAGAACGAAUGCAGUUUAUUUUCCAUGAUUUUUAGGGUUCAGUUGAAUCCCUGUGCCUCCUAUGUCAAUUUCAUCCCCUGGUGUUUUUGAUGACUCGUUUUUCGGUAGACUUGCUGUGAAAAUAAAACCAUACAGAUGGGAUUUCUCUGUUGUGAUUUGCUUUAUGCUGACGUUUUAUCUGUGGCAAUCGUCCAGUUUCUUCAAUUGUCCACUUGAUGAUGAGCCAGGCUGUUGAUAAGUGAUAGGAUGAUGUUUGUAUAUUAUUGUUUUCUGCUUGGAUUUCUCUUAUAUGUGCUAUCACUUGCUCCUUGGUUUUUAUGCAACUCAGUGUAUACUCUGGGCUUUAUAAAUGAUUUAACACCAUUCUAAGGUUGAGGCACACAACUCUUUGGAAAGAUGCUUCAUGCAUGCCAAUUCCCCUUGCGCCUUAUGUCCGUAUUUUUCGUAGAUCAUUAAUGCCUUAGUUGUUUUGGUUUCAUGAUCUUAACAGUCCACUCUGUAUGGUAUUAUUUCUGUUGAGACGAUUAAUUUCUAAUUGACUGUUUUGUAUUUUUGUGAUACUUGAUAGGUAUAAGCUGCCAGUGCUUGUGUAAUGGAAGAGCUACAGAAGGACAGUGGGCAACCAUCAAAUGGCUCUGAUUCUGAGCCAGAAGCUAUGGUAUUGGAUGACAAUGGAGCAGGAAAAUCCCGUAGCAUGGAGGGAAACGAGGAUUCUCCUAUAGAUGCCGAUGUAGGCAAGGAUUCUCCUAUAGAUGUCAAUGAAGGCCAGUCCUCUAUGGAUGUGGAUAUUAAGGCAAAAUCUUCUCUCAAUGAUGAUGUUAAUGGAAAGUCUUCUUCCGAGCCAUAUUCCAAUGCUCCAAUCGACAUGAGUGUGGAAAGCCUAGAGAAAUUUUGCAAAGAAGCAUCAAGGUCCUUCUUUGAUGAAGUUGGUCUGAUAAGCCAUCAGAUAAAUUCCUACAAUGAGUUUGUCUCACAUGGGCUCCAGGAGCUUUUUGAUUCGCUGGGGGAAGUGAUCGUUGAACCUGGCUAUGAUCCUUCAAAGAAAGGAUCAGGUGGCUGGAAGCAUGCCAUCAUAAAGUUUGGGAGAGUGAAGCUUGAAAAGCCUGUGUUUUGGACCGGCAAAGAUGAAGGUUCUGUUGAUUUUAAACCUUGGCAUGCUCGUCUCCAGAAUAUGACAUAUGCUUCAAGACUUAAAGUAGAAGUGACUAUUCAGGUCCUGAGUAUUUUCAUUCUUUUACAUGUCCAUUACUUGUUCUUUAUAUAUGCCAUGAUUUUCCAUAAAAAAAUGUGCCACCUGGAUGAGCUAUAAAAUCAGUGUCGAGGAAAAAAAAAGUAUAGCAUCGUUCUAAAUGAUUGAAUAGUAAAUAAAGCAGCCUAGGAGUGGAUGGGCGAUUGGUGUUUUGAGGACAUCCCAUCAGUCGUCAGCACUAUAGUUAUUCUUGUUUUCUCCAUUUGCUCAAUUCCAUUUAAAGGGUUGGUUACAUUUACUUAUUCCUUAUGUAUGAUGAAGCUGGAUACAUGUAGUGACCUUGGUACUUGUUUUGGUGUCACUCACAUUUGCUUAGAUUUUAUGGUCACCUGAUUAUCUAUUGGUUAUUUUUCAUUGUAUCAGGUUUAUUCUUUGGAGAAAAGUGACAAAUCGAAAACAGGGAAUGAGGGUUUUGUUCAAAAAAGGAACUUCAUGAAUGAAACUCAUUGGAUAUUUAUUGGCCUCCUUCCGGUUAUGGUGAAAUCAAACUUAUGUUUGUUGCAUAGUCUCAAGGAAAGUGAGUGCCUGUUUGAUGCAGGUGGAUACUUUUUGGUCAAGGGAAUGGAGAAGGUAUAACUCUGGAAUCUCUGUGUUAAUGUAUUAUGUAGGAUGAUUGAAUUAUUAACUUUCAAGUGUCCUUUUGUUGCUGGUAUGGGACUAUAGGGCUGUGAGCUUUCUUAGAACCCAUUCAGAAAAAUUGUGUAAUGUGCAUUACUGGUAUCUCAUAAGAGGGUGGAAAAUGUCCAAAUAUGAUUGUAGCUAUGUAAACACAGGAUUCUAUCGUAUCUAAGGAAACUUUGGCACAUCAGUCAUUUGAGUUGGUCUCCUCCUGGUGCCAUGUUAGCUUCUUGUGUCUAAACCUAUGCAGCAUGGAUACAUAUAUCAGUGUCGGGCAGAUAUGAUAUUUAAUUAAAUAAAUAAUAAAAAAUUAAAAUUAUAAAAGCAAUCGCAGCCAAAAGAAAGUUCGAUAUUACCCUCCAAUAUUGGUGUUUUCCUAUUUUCCAAUUUUUGAGUCAACCAAAAGUCACGAUAAACAUCUCCAUUCACUAAUUUUUGAAACAAUAAAGUUCAUAAAUCACUGUAGGGAAACAUAGAAGUUCAAUGUAUGAGCUCUGCCCUUGGUCAUUGGUUUCAUUGGCAUAGAAGUAUAGAACGAAGCAUUAGCACCAGUACUACUCGAAUUUGUUGGUGAUGCCAUUUGCCAUCUUGUUGCGGCUGGGAAAAAUCAUGGACAAAACACAACAGAGUGCACUAGAUGAGGAUGGUGAACAAGGAAAAUCAGCAGAGGUCAAGAACUUAAGAACAUGACUAAUUCGAGAAUAGAAAGCCAACAAGAGGGUUGUCGUUGGCUCGUCACUGAAUUGCUGCUAGGGGCCUGUGCAUGCUGCGACGUGGGGGCAUGGUGGAGCUUCUUAUCGGGGGCGGCGGAGGUGCGUCGCCAGUGUGGCGGAGGCUCAUCGUCGGCAGCCAGUGGAUGGGAGCACUUGUCUUUGCUGUGUCGAUGAGCUGGUGCACCGGUGUGCGGGUGGCGACACCGCGACACGAUGCAACGAAUGAGGCACAGAACAGCGUGGGAGUGGUGGGAAUGGAUAAGGAUGGACUAUGAAGUGUCGGAGGUGUAUUGGUGGUCUGUCCCAGAUGCGUAUCGCCGGUGCGUAACAACAUUUGUUGGAUUUAUUUCAUUUCCAAUACGCUGCUGAUACGUAUCGGAGGUGUAUCCUUUGCAUAUCAAUAUCAGAUAUGUAUCUGAUAAGGGAUACACUGCCCAUCACACGUAUCCAUGCAACACAGGUCUAAACUAUGCAGCACGGAUACGGAUACAUGUAUCGGUAUUGGAAGGAUAUGGAUACGGCAAUUUUGUAAAAAAAAAAAAUCAGUACGCGGAUACAUUUUACUAUUAAAAAAAGAUAAUAACACGUUAAAACUAAAAUUGAUAAAACAACAAAACAUUGCAAUCUACUUAAAUACUUAAGUUCUAUUAUUAGUUUUACAGAACAGCAGUUCUCAAGUCUCAAAUAUAGGAAAGUAAUAAAAGGCAUUCAGGCUCACAUCAAGUUACUGUUUCCUCAUUUGUUUCAUUCUCAUCCACGACAUCAAGCUGCAGAUCACCCAAACCAAAAGACACAGCUUGCAAUUCAGGCUCAUCAAGGGGAGAGGUCAGCCACUUCGAGAAUGCCAAUACCACCAAGUGAAUCAAAAGAAUCUCCUCCUACAUCCCAGUCUUAUAUGCAUCAAUUCUUCUUGACAGAUGCCUCAGUGGGGAGCAAAGAAAUCAAGCAACAAUAGAGUAGAUCGAGAAGUGAGAACAGGGAAGCGGAUGAACUCAUGGCUGUCACAGGAGUCGGAGGGUCGGUGGAUCAACAUUGCGGCGGGGGGGGGGGGGGGGGGGGGGGAGGGGGGGUGACUCGUCGUUGGCGGCCAGCGAGCGGGACGAGGCGUGCGUCACCGCUCGAGUUUCUGGGAGGCAGCGCGAGGGUGCGGGAGUUCCAGCGUCAGGGCAAUGGGGGCUUGGAGAUAGCAUUGUUUCUUGUUGGGCUGGGCCGUGUCCAAUGGGCACGUACUCAAAAUUCACGAAAAUAAUAAAAAAAUCGGUCUAAAUGAGCUGCAGUGUGUUAUUUAGCCAUCUUGGAGAUUCUAAUAGAUUUUCAAAGUUCCAGUGAUAAUUAUUUACAGGAACGAUGCGGAUCUGCUGAUGACAUACUCAGAUACUAUUUCACGAUUUCAGAUACCUGAUUAUUUGCUAAGUUCAUUUGGAGUUUCCUUUUGGGGCGUGACUAUCUGAGUCAUAGCCUUUUUACUGCAAAGAGAAUGCCCUUUGAAUCACAUAUAGUAUUUUUCUGUCAUCUAACUAUGUUUCUAUUGUUGUUAUACCUGCAGGUAUUCAUUGCUCAAGAGCAAAGAUGUCUAAAGAGGCUUUGGGUUAGUGAUCGUCCUUUCUGGAUGAUCUCUUUUAUGCAUGAAAUCAAGCGUAGACGUAUAUAUAUUAAACUAGUUGAAUCUACAAGGAGUGAAGAUUUCAGUGGGAGCAAAGUCAUUUCCAUUUCCUUUUUGUAUGCGACAAUGCCAGUCUGGUUGUUGUUCUUUGCACUUGGAAUAUCAUCAGAUAAGGAAGCCUUUGAUGUGAUAGAUAUGCAAGAUUGCGAUGCUUCUGUUAUCAACACGAUAUCUGCAACCAUCAAAGAAUCUGAUGAACUGUGUAAAGGCUUUCGUAAAUCAGAUAAAGCUCGUCAAUAUGUUGAUGAGUUGGUAAAAAGUUCGAGAUUUCCUCCGGCGGAGUCCUUUGAUGACUAUGUUGCUAGGUUUCUCUUUCCUGAUAUUAAUGGAAAUAGGAACAAAGCAUUUUUCUUAGGGUACAUGGUGAAAUGUCUGCUAAUGGCUUUUACUGGGAAGCGUAAAUGUGAUAAUAAGGAUGAUUUCAGGAACAAGAGGCUGGACCUACCUGGUGAAUUGCUUGGAAGGGAACUUAGGGCGCAACUUAGGCUGUUAGAGAGGCGCAUGGUUAAGGCCAUUCAAAGAGAUUUAAAUAAUGACCGCGAGUUACAAGAUCUUGAACGUUAUAUAGAUGCAUCGAUUGUUACUAAUGGUCUAAAUCGUGCCUUUUCCACUGGUUCUUGGUGCCAUCCCUACAAAAGAGCUGAACGGUGCUCAGGAAUUGUUGCGACUCUAAGAAGAACUAAUCCUCUUCAAAUGAUGUCUGACUUGAGGAAAACCCGGCAGCGGGUUGCUUAUGCUGGGAAAGCUGGUGAUGCAAGAUAUCCGUAAGUAUCUUAUUUUUCAGCAACCAAGUAUUGCAUGUCCAUCUUGUGUUUUUCUAUCUCCUAACAUGGAGUGACUUAAAACUAAACCCUUACGUACAGAAAUCCAUCCUAUUGGGGAAAGCUGUGUUUUCUGUCCACUCCGGAUGGUGAAAACUGUGGACUUGUAAAAAAUCUAGCUGUUACUGCUAUUGUUAGCUCAAGGGUGGGGCAGCCCUUGAUUGAGAGCUUCAUUUCUUGUGGAAUGAGUAAGCUGAAUGACAUUCCUACGGAGCACAUUCAAAGAAUGGAUAAGAUCUUUUUGAAUGGCAAUUGGGUGGGAUCUUGUAAAGAUUCAGCUUCAUUUGUAUUUCGAUUGAGGUGCAUGAGACGCAGCAGUAUGAUUGAUCCUCAGGUUCUCUCUCUUUCCCAUGGCUGGUCACUUUCUGCUUUAACUUAUUUGCAGCCUUUACUAAGAUGCUUGGUGUGCAGGUUCCAUACAUUAAAAUGUUUUGUUUUAGAAGAGUCCUAAUUUCCUGUCAUUGAUUUUACAAAAGUUUUUCAUCUUUAGUAUACAUUGAUCCAUAUAACUUGCUUAUAAAGCCUGCUUGAAUAAUAAUGGUUUUCCUCAGUUCCUUUGCAAUCUUAAUGCUCUGUCUUAUAUCUAUUACCUAUUUUUUGAGGAUAAAUGUUUUUCACAAUUUGGUUAAUGAUUGAGUAUAAAUAGGUUAAAAUCAUUUCCUUUGAAGUGACCAAGUUGUUAUAUUAGUUUGUUUAUUAUCAAUUUCCCAAGUUGUGUUCUGUGUCUUUCUUUUCUGUUUCAGUUAACCGCUGAACAUUUCCUGCCUAUCUCGACUGUUGUGUUUGAGUCAUGUAGUUUUAGGUUGCAUCCUUUUCUCAAUGCACUAAUGUGAGGAUGUCGGUUGUUUUUAGUUGUUGACACAUUCUCAGUACUGCAUACUAAUAUUCAACACCAAGAUGUUCUUUAUAAUGUUUCUUGUUUCAUCUUAUUAGGUUGAAAUUAAAAGGGACAAGCACCACAAGGAGGUUCGUGUGUUCUCUGAUGCAGGGAGAAUCCUCAGACCCCUUCUUGUGGUUGAGAAUCUUAAUAAAAUCAGAAAACCGAAAGGGCGUUCAUUCUCUUUCCAGGAAUUAAUGCAACAAGAAAUAAUUGAGUUCAUUGGUGUUGAAGAGGAAGAAGAUAUACAAUGUGCGUGGGGAAUCAGGCAUUUGUUUGAGAGUGAAGGAGCGAUAUCUAGUUAUACUCACUGUGAGCUGGAUCCUUCCUUUCUUAUGGGAUUAAGCUGUGGUAUCAUUCCUUUUGCAAACCACAAUUUUGCUCGGAGGGUGUUGUACCAAUCUGAAAAACACUCGCAACAAGCUAUUGGGUACUCAACGACAAAUCCACACAUCAGAGUUGAUACUCUUUCUCAUCAACUUUAUUAUCCUCAGAGGCCUCUUUUCAAAACAGUUAUAGCCGACUGUCUUGGCAGAUCAGAUUAUACUGCUUUUGGAAGAAAAGAUGACUACACGAGACCAGAAUAUUUUAAUGGACAAAAUGCAAUCGUAGCAGUGAAUGUUCAUCAGGGGUUUAACCAAGAGGAUUCCCUGGUUAUGAAUAGGGCUUCUCUUGAACGAGGUAUGUUUAGGACUGAACACCUCAGGAGCUAUAAGACAGAUGUAGAAAACAAGGAUGGAACCAAACGAUUGAAAUUGAAGGAAAAGAUAGACUUUGGAAAAACAGAAAGCAAAAGAGGGCGUGUUGACAAUCUUGAUGAUGAUGGCUUACCUUACAUUGGUGCAAGUCUUCAGACCAAUGACAUCGUCAUUGGAAAAGUCUCAGAAUCUGGAGAAGACCACAGUAUUAAGCUGAAGCAUACAGAAAAGGGAAUGGUUCAGAAAGUAUUGCUUUCAGCAAAUGAUGAAGGGAAGAAUUUUGCUGUUGUUACUUUAAGACAGGUAAGCCUUCUUUUGCUGCUCUUCAUUCCACACGUGUUGGGAACUUGGGAUGAAUUGGGGUGGAAAUAAGGUGGAUAUGAGUGCAGCCAAACAAGACCUAAAUGACAUUUGUCUUAGCAAAGAAGUAUUAACCAUUAACCAAUUAGUACGUUCCUUGAAUUCUGGCUUCACUAGCGAGCGUACGGACCUUAUUUGACAAUAGAAUGCUGCAUUCUUCUCUUGACUGUUCCACCGAUUGACAUAAACCAUCUGUAGCUGCAUUGGCUGUCAAUUAAGCAUGUUGCCUGUUUUGUGUGCCUGGCAUUUUUAUUUAACCCAGUAGUUACCUUGCUCUUGGGUGAUUAUUGUUGGUCUUAUUGACAUUCCUUUUUUAACCCAAAAAGAUUAAUGAAUUAUCUAUGCCUAUAUUCUUGCCAUGCAAUUAAGAGGAGAUCAUGGAUGAUAAGAAAUACAAGCAUCAGUGUGUGCUCAUGGAUACUUCAUCCUUCAUGGUUAAAAUAAAACUUGGUUCGACUUUAUUACUUCUUUUCUUUUACAACACUUGGCACUAUUAGCUUUUAGGAUGUAACUUAAACACACGCUAAUAUUUCUAAGUACAUAUAUUCUUUGUGUACCAAUGUUGGCAAUUCUUACAAUGGUAAUUUUACACUAUUGAGCCAUAUAUCUAAAAACCCAUUGAUAAUUAGAAAAUCAAUGCUGACAAGUUUUAUGAAACAGGGGUAGUGCCUUUUUAUGGGGUUCACCGGUUCAGCACUUUACAUGAUUGCACUGAUCCACCCCAUGUCCCAUACUCCAAAAAAGUAAUAAUAAGAAUUUGGCUUCUCCUUGUUCUUGACUUUUAGGACAUGGAUGAGCCCAGAUAGGCUGCUGGCUUGGUUGGGCCAGCAGCUCAACUCUUUUCCAUUUCCUUAGAUUCCUUCCAACACUUAUAACGUGACUAUUCUGAUUUUCUUUGCUUCCCCAUCCCCACCUUCACAUUUAUACCACAUGUUACUUUUUAUUGACCAUAUGAAGCUUUCUUUGUUGAUUUGAUUUUAGGUUCGGACACCUUGCCUUGGAGAUAAGUUUUCCAGCAUGCAUGGCCAAAAAGGUGUUGUUGGUUUUCUAGAAUCUCAAGAGAACUUCCCAUUUACUCACGAAGGUAUAGUCCCAGAUAUUGUGAUAAAUCCACAUGCCUUCCCAACACGUCAAACUCCCGGACAACUGCUUGAAGCUGCUCUGGGGAAGGGAAUAGCCUGCAAAGGUACAAUGAGAUAUGCAACACCAUUCACCACAGCAUCUGUUGACGUUAUUGCAGAGCAGUUGCACAAGUAAGUGUUUCUUCUUGUAACGGAUGAAUAGCUGCUUGCCUUAAUUCAGACCCUUUCAAAGGGUUGAGCAUUUUCUAGCCUCUUUUAGUUGAACUUUGUAAUCGUUAAGCUUACUAGUACAUCUUAUAACAACCUUGUACGUCAUUAAUGCACCCUAUGCUCUCAAGUCUUAACUCUGUUAGUACUUCACUGCUUAUUACACAUACAGAAGAAGAAAAGGAAAAAUAAAUGUAGGGAAAUAAAAUGCACAUGCACAGAAUGGCUGGUGGCUAACCUCGCAUUUUGUAUAUUGGUCACUUGAGUAAACAUGUAUUGCAUUGUUCUUAGUAUCCCUUAGGUUACAGUAAUUUCACAUGUAUGUAUUUUUUUUGUAAUCUUUUGCUCCAAAAUGGUGGAAGCACACAAUUUCCUUUCCCUUUCCCUUUUAACUUGUAUUACUAUCAGUUGAUGCUUAUCUUUUUCUUAACUGAGACAUCCAUAGUGGCACCUCAAGUAGAAGAUAUAAAGCUGAGUGUGCUCACACACUAACAUGUUAUCAGUGAGGAUCUUACUUCAGAUAAUCAAGUAACUUUGCAUGGAAUGUAUCUGAGAAUGAAAAUAUUUUAGUUAUUUUCUUGCGUUGUAGACUUGUUUUCUUCUGUGACUUGUUUAGUUGAUUUCCAAAAUUUUAUGUAUCUUGUUGCAUCGCAGGGCUGGUUAUUCACGGUGGGGAGCUGAGAAUGUUCUAAAUGGCCGAACUGGUGAAAGAAUGCAAUCCUUGGUUUUCAUGGGUCCUACCUUUUACCAGAGGCUGAUUCAUAUGUCCGAAGAUAAGGUGAAAUUCCGUAACACUGGGCCGGUGCACCCCCUCACGAGGCAGCCUGUUGCUGACAGGAAAAGGUUUGGCGGAGUUAAGUUUGGAGAAAUGGAGCGUGAUUGCCUCCUCGCCCACGGGUCAGCUGCCAACCUGCAUGAGCGCCUCUUCAUGCUUAGUGACUUCUCCCAGAUGCACAUCUGCCAGACAUGCGAGCGUGUGGCCAAUGUUGUCAUGAGGUCUGUUCCUGGAGGCAAAAAGAUCCGUGGCCCCUACUGCGGCUUCUGCAAGUCUUCGGAGAACAUAGUGAGGAUCAAUGUGCCCUAUGGCGCGAAGCUGCUCUACCAGGAACUCUUCAGCAUGGGGAUCUGCCUCAAGUUUGACACCGAAGUCUGCUAGGAACUUGUAGACCUGCUUGUAUCCAGACAUCCAGUUAUGUACAUAAAGUUAGCCUAUGAGGAUAUCGUACUGGGCUACUGGCAGCUAUGUGAAAACUCGUGCCGAUGUGUGAUGCUGGCAUAGCAAAGGAUGGGCGAGUCUGAUGGAGUGCAACGGCACUGGCAGGUGGGUUUCUCCAACCCGAUGUGGGGAUCUACCACUGCUCUGCUUUGAGGAUAAACUCUGUUGAAACUAGAAACCUUGUAGCGUUUAUGUGCUGUUUCGCCCUGCUCGUCUGAUAAACUAUGCUCAAGUGAAUGAACACUUGUUUCCUGUUUCUUGCUUGAAUUGCGCUGUCGCAUGCCUUUUUGUUCUAAGAUUGUGUUUUUGUGGAGCACCUGUAUUGCUCCGUAGGGAUCAUCAGGGAAUGUUGCUAUUGGAUCAGACACCUUGCUAGUUGCCACCCCACAUGGCUCCACACACACAAACACACAUACCUUCCGUCCUCCCACUCCUGCUUGACCAACUGUUGUGAGUUGUGACGCCUGUAUUGCUCCGUGGGGGUUAAGGAGUGUUGCUAUUGGAGCCGACUGGCGCCUGGUGAUUUGUGCGAUGAUUCCUAGCUCAUCAUGAAUCGAGAUACUCUGAUUAUCGAGGGCCAAUAGGAAUUUCGCAGAAAUAUUUUGCAAUUCAAAAGGGGGCUCGGCUGAAAGAUUAGAAGCAUGUGUCACUUGCUCAAUAGUAUGCCUCAUGUUGAUAGGUUCAUACAAAAGAAAUAAUGUUUAUGAUACCAACUAAUAACUAUAGAUUUAUCAUGAGACAUAUUUUCAUAUUAUAUUUAUUUGGUUUUGGUGUCAUAGACGUCAUUGUUAUUUCCUAUAAAUUUAGUUCAAAUUAAAUUGGCCUGACUGAUAAUUUUGAGAGGGGCAAGUAGUUUAUAGAUUGUAUUAGGAAACUGUGCCUGUAGGUGCUUUGGAUCUUUGAUCAGGUGUGACGUUCUGUUUGUCAUAACCUUAAUAGUUACCGUAGCUUGGAAAAAUCAUAGAAAUUUACCGCAUGGAUAGUUAAUCUUUGUUCUAAUGCGCGUUCUAAAAUAAUUCAGUCCACAUCUACAAGUCGCCAUUGAGACAAAAAGCAGGAUCCAAGCUUUUUACUUAAAAAACAAGACAACAUGUAGGGUCCAAGUUUAUCUUUCGAUACCGGCGUCAAGAAAAAAACGUAGGAGCACUAAACUAGAAGUAGAAGUCACAAUAUUUGCAUUUAUACAGGCGAUUGAUCACAGCAUCACAAGCAUAUACAGUACACAAGAAAUGCCGAUCGAAUAGCUACUGAAAGAACUUCAAGAAACACAUGCAGCUUGGAUCGAUCUUUUCUCAUCGAUGAUUUAUUUGCAUUAAUUGAUCCAAAUCACGAUACAAGAGGCAUGAGGACGAUCAGAGACAAAUCCAUCGCCCCACGCAUGAGCUUACACGAGGAAGAAAUCAGCACAAAAAACAAGAUCCUCUCUACCUGAGGGAACGAACAACAGGGGACCAAGAAGUGAGUGGGGGAACUCCAUGCGAGGCCUGUGGCUUCUCCUCCCACAGGCUACGGCUUGAGGAAGAAGAACAGUCCUCGAUGCAUCUUCAGCUAUUAGCUGCUUAAUUUACGAGUGAUGCUAGCUCUUGGAUCCAAAGGUACUUGUACUGCAAAUACCCCUCUCUCCAUGGCACCAAAGUCGUUUUUCCCUAGCUCAGAGCUGCUGGGAUUUGGACCUGGUGGCUUUGAAGAAACAUCUCGUGUGGGGUUUGAAAGAGAUGACCUGCAUUGUAGCGACAGGUCACACUGCAGAGGAUCGUGUGUACAUGCAUUGAACCUGGACGCCCCUCCCUCUCUUUAGCUUUUGCGUUGGGCGUAUGGUUUUUGGCCUUUUGGGAUUUGGGAAUAUGAGUCACUGAUUCUCUCGGUGUCGUCCCGUCUCAGCUUUUUUUUUGGGGGGCUGCCUUUAUGCUGCAUGCCCAUUCAGCAGUCACGCACAAAGCCACAGCAACUAGAUCGACCACUGGGUCUGGGCACACACAUUUUAUACUAGCAUGGAACUACCGGAUUAGGUAGUGUGUGUUGCAGUUGUUUAUUGUAUGAUUGCUGUCAUCGUCGUGUAUUUAAUAUUGGUGAACAUGUAAGCUGCACCGACAUGCCCCAUGCAGGACAACAGGCCGCUAGGGAAUACACCGUGCAUCAUGCAUGCAUGCCCCUCCUAUAUAUAUAAGAUAUGAUAUCCCCAACUCAAUACUGACAGCUCAUGUUGACUAAGAAUCUCGGCACGUACGUUUAAUUUGGCCUCUAUCUGUUAAACCUAGAUUAACCAUAAAAGGAAACUAAGUAUAAUGGAUUUCACUUCUGGCCUUUACCUGAAUUUGCUAACGGCUUCGUCAAGGUAUAAGCAAUGCCCCAGAGUCUAGAGAGAACUAAAUAUCAUCUGUAAAUACUAAAUGCACCUGCUGAUGAAUGAUAACGAGUCACAUCUCACAAAACAUGACCGAAACCAAACAUUCACAUGAGACAAUCACACUGCAUCACAUGGUAGCUACCUAACUCUUGUACCAUAUGCAUAAGCAUUUUUCUGCUCUGCUGGCCAUUCCGAUAUAUAGCAUAUAUAUGCAUGUCAGUGUGUUUAACGAAAGUUCAGUGAUAUCUACUACAUGAAAACUUUCAAAGAAAAAUUAACCGAGAUCUACAUCAUGUCGUUCAUCAUCAGAAAUAAAUGUGCGUGGCCAGAAACCGAACGACGACGGCACAUCAGCUAGCGCUCGAUCUGCUGGAGAUAAGGGAAUUUGCAGCUUCUGGGCGCUUUUUGCUAGCUCCAUGUGCUUUCUGCGAUUCCAAACCCGGACGCCGAGCUACCAAGUGCCGAGCAAAGGUCUCGUCGCCGGAUUCCCUUCGCUCCUACUGGUUAAUUAACCUAGGCUGUAUCACGGCUAGGUGCAUCCUCCACUCCAUUCACUCCAAGACCAAGAACCACGUACAAUGCUCACAGGCGGCGGCAGCUAGCUAGCUUGCUUAACUCUCCUUAGCUAGUCUAGUAGACUUAUAAAUAGCAGCCAGCUCUGAGCUCUCGUCAUCAGCGGCGGAUUAAACAAGUGAAGUGGUCCACGGGAAAUGUAGCAAGGGUCCUGGUUGGUUGGUUGUCACCUGGAGUUCUCCACAAACUACUUCAGUAGCAACACACACCCCUAGUUUAAUGCACCGUGUUUGCAUGUUUGUGUGGAGCUGUGUGUGUACAUAGUGAAGUGUUUGGGGGAACUCUGGGUGGCAAUCAGCAAUUUGUGCUAUCUAGCUAGGUCUCUGAGUGCAGCAUGCACCUUUUUUUUCUAAGUGCAGCAUGUACUUUGGAGAUCGUACUAGAUCGACCAGCAUAUGAUAUAAGAUAGUGGGGGAAAACAAUUAGGUUAGGUGUCCCCGGGAGUUCUCUACAAGCACUUCACGAUGCACUAUUUUGAGAGCUUUUGUGAAGUGUUGGGGGAACUCUCGAUGCCACUAACCAUUUGCUAGAGGUUGUGGCCAAGUGCAUGCCACAUGAAAUGAUUUGAAGACAAAUCAUAUUUGGAAAUAAUAUAUCAAGUUUGGUGUCCCUAGGAGUUCUUUGCAAACACUUCACAAAAACAUUUUUUAAGAGCUUUUGUGAAGUGUAUGGGGGAACUCUCGGUGCUACUGAUCAUUUGCUAGAUGUUGGUCAACGUACUGCAAGCCACAUGAGAUAAUUGAAAGAGUUAGGUUUGGUGUCCCUAGGAGUUCUCUGCAAGCACUUCACGAGGCAUCGUUUUGAGAGCUUUUGUGAAGUGUUUGGGGGAACUCUUAGUGUCACAAAUCAUUUCCAUAUACUAGACGUUGGUCAUGUGCCAUGUGAUAUGUGUUGAAGGCCAGGGCAAACGUUUUGUGUUACUAGGAGUUCCCUAAAAGCACUUCACGAGACCUUGGCUUAAUAAAGGGCCCUUGUGAAGUGUUUGGGGGAACUCUUGGUAUCAUGAAGCAUUUAGUUAUAGUAUAUAUGAUGUCCACAUGAAUACCAUGUGCGAUACAACAUUGAACAAUGUUCGGUGUUACCAUGAGUUCCCUUCAAGCACUUCACAUGAGGCACCAUUCAAACUCUGUUUAAGAUUAGGUGUAAUGUGAAGUGUUUGGGGGAACUCUUGGUGAUACUCAACAUCCAUACACAUCUUGAAGUUGAUGAUACUCAAUGCUCAUGUAAGUUCCCCUGACCCCGACUCUAAAAUCAUGGUUUCAACUUCCAAGUUCCAUAUAUGCAUGUGCUUUGUGAGAUCUAGAUAUGUUUAUUCAUAUGUUUUCUAUUUUGACACUAAUCUAUGCCAGUAUAUAGCUAGCGCUACCAGAGCCACAUUCACUUUCACACUCAUGUUGAGCUAAUUAAUAUUUAUACAAAAAUGUGUAAAGCUCCAGAUGCUUUCUAUUCUAGCUCAACCUUACGACACACAGGGCGGAGCCACACUGUCAAAUGUGCAAUUAUGUUCCUUCAUAGGAGAUGCUCCCAUGGAUGUAUGAAUUUCUUGCCUCACCCCCAAAUAGAUUAACUAUAUCCAUUUGAUAGUUUGUAUGAUUCAUCUAAUGUGUCAAUAAAUGGCAUAUCAUGCUAGUUUAUAUUUAAAAAAAUACGAUGAUAGUAUAGUUUGCCCCCUUCCCCAAACAAUUAGAAAAACUACCAGUCUACCAUCAUGCGUCCUCCCAACGAAGCCAGGUCGUAAUAACUUUUUUUAUUAGUUGGAUCAUUGGAUGGUUGGGUAGUCCAAUCAGAGUUUGGAUUAGCUAUAGCUUUUCUUAGAAGUUGUCUAUUACCUCUAGCUGAUUUAAACGUGAUCUUAGUGCCAGUGUGGCUUCUAAAAAAACCUUCACCUCAAGGUGAACAAAUGAAUGCCGCAAUGUGCUACAAACAUAAUGGAAUACAAAUUGAUGUUUAGAGUUACUAGAACAUGCAUGUAAAUAGUGGAAUAGUUAGUACGUAACCUUUUGCUUACGAGUUGCAUGCAUAUGCACGUUAGACGACAUGUGUUAUAGUAUAUAUUUUCCAAUUUUUAUCUUUAUUCUAAUAUUAAAAAAGCGAAGCGUUGACACAGCUGACCUUUAGGGCCGCAAAAUCAGCCUCCAUAGCCUAGUGCAUGAGCAGGCGGAGUUUUCCUUGCGCGAGUGACAGCAAGUAUAAUAACAGACUAUAAGCCGGCUAAAUACUAAGGUAGAAGGAAAAAAAAGAGAGAGAAGAGAGUAAAAGCAGGUUAUACGAGAAGAAAGAAAGUUUGUGAAAAAGACAAAUAAUGGAUUAUGCAUUAAUAAUAAUGAGAUAACCACUAUACAGGUGAGCUAUAAAACGACUAAAAAAACCAAACAACAGCCGGCUAUAUUAUUAGUGAACCUCCCCGCAGGCGAAGUUGGCGGUGGAUUAGCAGCGGUCGCUGCCAGUGCCAGCACCCCUAAGCGGCAACAACAAGACAUGACCCAAACAUGCCCACAUCUUCUUCUACCCCUAUCUGUUGCUGCUUAUGCGCACAAAAAAAGAAAAGGAUUAUCAAAAGAGACUCAAUCAACAGUUAUCAAAAGAGCGAGACUCGAUCAACAGUUUGGUUUGUUUGUUGGAAAGAAGGGAGUAUAACUAUCUACGAAAGAAGAGAAUGGAGAAGGGAUAAGGGCAGCGGAAAAGAAAGAUUAAAUAAGUAGGCUAGCUUAUAUAUGGCAAUAAGCGAGUCCUAUCCAUCAAUAUUGUAAACUUAUAUAAAUAAUAAAAAUUAUAGUCUAAAAAAGACAAAUCCUAGUUAUAUUGCUCCUUUGAUUAUUACAUAUUUUUCAUCAACAAUAAAAGAGUUAAAGUCCAAACACAGAACAUCAACUAAAAGACAAAAAAACAACACCACUAAAAAAAUUGUCCAGUGAUGAUACCGAGUCCAGUUCCAAGAUAUAUUAGACUCGGUGCAACGUACGAACAUAUUUGCUAGUAAAAAUAAAUUCACAUUAAUGAUGGACACAACUAUUUCACAUAUAUGUUAUUUCCAUUAGUUUCAGUACUCACUUUGUAUCUGUAGUAACUAACUACAUUUUUCAUUUCUCAUGAAUAUUUUUUAUUUGCACACACAGGUAAUAUAGUACUCCAUCUCCUUCCCCCCCCCCCACCCCACACACACCAAAAAAAGUUCAACUCGCAUUUUUAAGAGUUAUAAAUAAUUUUAAAUUUGGUUAAAUGUUAUAAAAGCAAAUGUUAACAUUUAUGAUAAGAAUAAGCAUCAUCAAAAUAAUAGUAGAAUAUAUCUUCAUAAUAAAUCUAUUUAGAAAUACUCUACUUUCUAUAAACUUAAUGAACCUUUUUUUACUUGGUUUGAAACUAGAAUAUAAUUGCACUUUUUUUAACUAUCGGUCAGGGAGCACCUAGGGCUACUAGCCUACUACGCAGACCUGAAGGCUAAGGUCAGUAAAAGGUGAGAUUCCAUUACUUCUUCUUUUUUUUUUCUUUUUCUUUUUUCUGAGAGAGAGAUGCGAGGGUUGCAGAACAUUGCUUGUUCAGCUAAACGGUGCCAAAGCCUGCGGCCCAUGUUACGAUUUGGACAGCUCAAGACUAGUGCGGGCCUUCAGGGAACGCGCAUGCAGGCACGGCCCUUUUCCUAGCUAAAAAAAAGCACGGGCCGUUUUCGCCAAGAGAAAGCCCAUCAAGGGGCUUGCAGGCUUUCAGUUUCAGGCUAAGGCUUUCAGCAGAGCGUGACAAUCAACUUCAACUGAUCGACUCUACAAAACGAAAAGUGUUGGCGCUGAACGUAUUAUCUAUAUAUCAUUCGUAUGAUCAUCUUGUGCUGUAAACCUGUGCUUUUGUCCAUUUGACACUGUGUAUGCAUGGAUGACUGUGACUUGCUGACACCGACAGUAUUUUCCUACUGUAUCAGUUUCCUGUCGCUGAUAUUGCAAUGCACUAAUGCCUUCUAAACCCUGCUACUACACUACAUCGGCUGUGAAGUCUGAAUAAAAUGCGUAGCACGCAGACAACAAUGGUUUUCUCGAUUGUUGUAAUCCUGAUGAGGCUCAAAUAUGAAAGAUGGUCAAACAAUGAUAUAUAUAGGAGAAGCGAUUUAUUAACUAUCUCCAGUGAAAUGAAUCAGUAGAGACAUUGAACAUGCACUUUCUAUAAAAGCUGGGUUCUUCUUCUCGCUCCCGAAAAAAAAAUCAGGAGGGAGACCUUUUCUCCUCCAUUACUUAUUGUACCAUGAAAACAAAACAAUGGCAACCACGAUGGAGAGAG
rnacentral:lncRNA from 1 species